rnacentral:lncRNA from 1 species
UAGAGUUGACAAUGAAUAUUGUGCUUUGAAAAGAACUUAAAUUUAGGGAGACUAUUACCUUAGUUUCUAAUGUUUUUUGGGGAUGUUAUUCGGAUGUAUUUCGAUUCCCAACUAAAAUUUGACUCUGAGGAUCAUCUGACUUUUCUCUUCAAUUUUUCAUAUGGCUUAGAUGUGCAAAUCUUACAUAUAUGUUCUUUCAUAAUUUACAUAUCAUAUUUACAACACAUGUAGUUGAUAUGCAAAGUAAUUCCAGGAAAUAGGCAGAAACACAUACACUUCUCAAUAAGGUAUAUCGGGUGUAUGAGUUAAAACUGAACUCAACUCAACCUGGUCGCAGCCGUAUCUCAACAUCCUCCCCCCCACCUCACCUCACCACCACACUGCCUCGGGUUUGUCCUUCCCUAAUAUUCUAUAGCCAUCACACCUCAACCUCGGUCAUCGGCUAUUGCCUAGCGGCACCCCGCCACCUCUCCUCACCGCCAACAACCCACUUCUAUCUCCUUAAUCUCUAUCCUAUCCAAAUAAUCUCCGAUCAUCACACCCCUGCGCUUGACGCGGCUCACCACUAGUCAUUAGUCACUUAGGCCGACGAGGCCCUACCACCUCUCCUUGCCACCCACAAAUAGUGGUGGAACCAUGAAUUUUUUUUGGGGGGGGGGGGGAGGGGGCUGGCAAAACAUGAUUGACACCUCGUGCUACAUUUGAUGGAAAAAAAAUAUAUCAAGAUAUGUUAUACAUGUGUCAUUAAAUUUUUUAAUGCCCCGUUAGGGAGGACUUAUUUCAGCUUGGGCUUCACCUAUUUUUGCGCAAAAUAAGGCACUAUAGCAUGAAGCUAUUUUGUAAGCUGGUCCUAAAAUGAACUACAAGCCGGGUGAAGAUACUAUUUUUUGCUUCACCGGCUUUAGCUUCAGUGGUGAAGCUGUUUUGGGAGAACCCCUCCCAAAUGACCCCUAAAAGGUUCACAAUUUUUAGAUUCAGGGUUUCAUGGAGGUAAGCAUUAUGGAAAACUGAAAUUUUUAUAUUGCAGUCUCUUUCUUAUUGUAAUAGCAUUCUGCAAUCUUCUUAAUUAUAAAAUAAUGUUAAAUGGCUUAAUUCCUUAAUUUUUUGAUUAACCAUCUUUCUUCUUAAAAGAUUAUAACAUAAGUUUAGUUUGCCACAUUACACUGGAUUAAACACAAAAUAGACAUGGUGAUUUGAGAAGACUUGCUAUAUAUAAUGGUCUAUGUGUGAUGCAUAUCACUAUAUCAGCAUAUGUGCACUCCCUGCCUGCCGAGACUGAAGUGCUCGACAUGUAUGUUGCCCGGCGCUAGGACCUUCCAAUUCGUUCUCCAUGGCCCUUAGCCUCGAGUCGAUCAUUCUGCUGAGGCACAGCUAUUUGGCUACUUAUUUCGAUCUUUGUGCUCCAGAAUUACUUGUUGGAUGUUGAAUAGCUAGCUAGUUAGGCAUCACAUGCAUCAGUAUGUUUUGUUGGGUAUACUUGAUCACUACUUUGAGUCCUCCUGAUCUUUGAAAGUUUAAAGGAUUGAGCUGAAGUGCAAAAUUUGGGGUGUGUGUGUGUGUGUGGGGGGGGGGGGGGGGGGGGGGGCGGUCCGGGGGGCGGGGCGCUGUCCCGAGACUGCCUAUUUCCGAUCACUAACCACCCAAGUGAAAGCACCCCAUUGCAUCGCCACGCUGCUGAUAGCACGUGUCAAUCAGACUCCAUUUAGGUACAAUCGAGAUAGAUGCUUGAAGAUUAUUUUUUCAACACAUUUAGUUGAUAGGCAAAGGAAUUUCAAUAAAAAGGCAGAAUAUAUUUAAAUUCUAAAAGAGUGUAUUACUUCCUAUAAACUUAAAUAAUUUAUUUCAUGAUCAAACAUACUAAUCAAGGUUAUAUUAAACUUUUAUGCAAAAACGAUAAAGUUAUCAAUUAGAGAGAAGAGAGUUGACUAAAAAAGCAUGUGAUUUAAUAGGAACACCAAUUAAAGAAAACCCUUACUGUAGUUAGAUUUUCUUGAUUAACUUUUUGGGGAUUGUUAUCAUGAUGUAUUUUAUUCCUAUCUAAAUUUAGAUUUUUAAAAAAAUUGAGUACUAUUAAAUUCCAUAAACUAGAAAGUGACAGCUAAAACUAGAACAUAAAGUAUACAAGCAUUUAAAUUUUCCUUUCCAAAUUUUCAUGUGGCUAAAAUGUACAAAUGUACUCUCUCUCUCUCUCAGACACACACUCACUCACUCACUCACUCACACACACACACACACACACACACACACACACACACACACACACACACACACACACACAUAUAUAUAUAUAUAUAUAUAUAUAUAUAUAUAUAUACGCUAUUCGGUACCUAGGGUACAGAAUAGUUUAUUCCGUACCCGAGCCCCUCCCACGCGCACGUCUCUCGCCCGACCGAGCCACCCUGCGCGCCCACUCAUGCAGCACUCCCCUCCGGCCCUUUCCUCGCGCGCACAGGUGGCCCACCCACUUUUCCAAUUUCCUCGCGAGAGGAAGCUGGUGCCGCUGCAUUUGCCCCCGCGCAUCCAGAUGGUGGAGGAGCUCCUCGACGCCCGCGCGCCGUGCGACGGGGGCGGCAGGGAGGCCCUCGGCUUCCGCACGGCCCCCGCGACGCCGUACGAGUCGUGCAACGCGUCGCCGGCCAACUCGUGCUAUGUCAGCAGGGAGCUCAAUGUCGAGGAGUACUUCCAGGAGUACGCGGCCGGCCUGGCGGAUGCCACGGCGGCGGCGGCGGCCACCGGGUCGAUGAGGUCAUGGUCCAGGAAGCUCAGGUUCAUGCAGCAGCUCAACCUCAGCCUCAAGCUCAAGGCAUCUAAGGCAUACCUCAAGACGAUACUCGCUGCCAAGCAGGGGAGCCCCGAGGACAUGAACGCUCUCGACGCGCGAGGGGAGCCCAGGAGCUCGCCCACGACGACCAUGGCCAUGGCCACCUCAGGGCAUGGAGGAAGAACCCGUUCGGCAAGUAGUGACAUGUAGAUGCAAAUUAUUUGCGUCAAUCUAGUGUGAAAGUAGUAUUUUUUUUUAUCCUGAAGGAAUAACAUGUGGUUGCAAAUAGUAGUGUGCUAACAAAAAAAACCUAUAGGAACCUAGAUUCAAUGUAGUAGCAUCACAGAUAAUUAUGCAUUUGCACAUAGGAACUUGGAUUCAGCAUCACGCUCCAAGACACAAGUACUACAAUUGUACAACAAUUAUAGCACCUAGUGAUCAUUACAAGGAGUGAAAAGAGCCAGUAGGUCUUGUACAUGCAAUCAUUGCACUGGAAUACUGGACAGACUUUCCUGAGGAAUGAUAAACAUUUGACCAUGGAUCACAGAGUUCUCGCUGUUGCAAGGCCAGAAUGCCACACACAAAAAUAAUCUCUAUAGAACUGAGCAUGCAGGAGCCAAUUUAAAGAUCCUGAACCUACAAUCUAGCCAACGAUUGGCAUACAACUUCAUCAUCUGAGAGCUUGUUAUGUCUUCCAUAGUGCAAACAGAAGUCAAGCAUACUCUAAUGCAAUAUUGGAGCUGCAGGCAGAUAACGGUAGUAUUUAUGAACUGGUUGAGCUGUGGCGGCAGCCUAGGAUUAUUUGGUCACUAUGUCCUGUGGCCACAUCAUCGCUUACUGCUCCAUGUUCCACUGCACCCGCAGCCACACCUAAUGGAUCGGAGAUGGUGAAAGUUCAAUGUCAUCUGCAGGUGAAUAUGAAUUUGUUUCAAAAACACGUCAUGGCUAAUAUUCAGAGCAGGCAAAAACAUUCAGGCAGCCAAAAAACAUAUGUUUGUUGAAUCCAAGUUCCUUUCGGAUACAUGUCAGCCACAAUACUUUUUUAAAUGUAAAUCUAAGCUGUUAAAGAAAUUGAACUUGGCUCAAGCUUGAUUGUAAUUUUAGGGCCAAGCUAAGAAUGACAUUAGAGGCUUGGUUGCUAAGGGACAAGGCUGCAGCCUGGCCAAAACCCAACGCACAUGAAACUGAAGGUGGCUCAGCAUCAACAACCCAACAAAUGCAGAGGGCACAGCCUGGAUAUCAGAAGGCCACUUUUUUUUUUACCCUGGCCCAACCAAGAAACUUCUCAGGUCUAAGUAAAAUACAGUGAUCAUAUGUUUUUCAACACUUAGUUGAAGCUUACCGCCAGAUAAAGUACCGAUCGACAACCCACUUGAGCAUGAUGAUUGUGAAACAGACAGUUAACAAAUGCAAUUGAACAUCCUUAGGCAUACAACAUAGUAAAGCAGUAUGACCUCUCUCUCUAGGCGUAGAAAACCACCCCAUAUUAAAUUUUGGCGCCAUCCUCUCUCAUAAAGAAAUGAUACCAGUGGAGUCCUGUUUGAUAAACAUCUGUAAGGACUAAGAAAUAAUCUAGGUAGAACUGAUCGACAAAUGCAGAGUCAUAUUCUAGAUACUUCAGUUCUUAAGAGAAACAGUUUUUGGCCGAUAUUGAUACUAGCAACAACUUGCAACCUUUAUUGGAUCAGUCCCUAUGCCUCUACGUUAAAGGAACAAUCUCUGUUGCAACAGUUCCAAGGCUUCACAAAGAAGUCAAGAAUACUUGCACUACUGAUUUUGAGCCUUAGGGGCACAGUUUCAGCAGUAAGUUAGUAGGAGUAAUUGUUACAAGAAUUGCAAUUCUCAAAGACCUGAAGCAGAAGGUUAAGUGAAUCAUGCCCAUCUGAAACAGGAAUUCAGUGAAUCAUGCCAUAAUGUCAGUUUGGAAACACUAGAAUUUCAAGUUGCAGCAGGCCAAUUUCCUCUUAUAAUUCACUCAGCCCCCCUCGUUUCACCCAAACUCACCAGGCUAUGGAAUUCCAGAAGAAAGAAAGAAACCUCUUUAUUACCUGAAUAUUUCCGUUGCUGCCGGUUUGGACUCCGAGUACUCAAUCGAACCAACUGCCACUGUAACUCUGUAAGGUCCUAGUAAUCCUGCUUAAUGUGGUAGAAUUUUUAGUCUACUCCGGCUCACAAGUUUUUAGUCUGGUAGGGCAGUCAAAACAAAAUGAAUUAACACCAAUAUAUCAGCUGCCAUUUGAUAUGCAUAAGCACUACGCGUCUAGGUUAACAGAUAACACAUUUUUCCAUUUGCAAUAAACAAAGGAUAACACAAAUAAAAGAACAAAAAACAUACCCAGAGAUCUGAUGUUCAACCGAAGCGCCAGAAUGCAAGCUCACUGAAUGAAUCCCAAGAGGCUUCAGGGGUUUGCAUAUCGAUCGCACCUGCUCAAACGACACCAAAUUAACUAAGUCAUUCACAUUUGAUUCAUUAAAAAGCUAUACAGAUAAAUACACAGUAAGCAUCAAAAUGGCAGUACCAACCUGCGCGGCCUUCUCCUGGGAUGGGACGAGGUACAGCAGGAAGGGGCAGGAGACGACCAUCCCAAGCCUCUCCUUCCUGGCGACGAUGUCGCAGGCAGUGGAGACGAGCCACGCUGUCUGCUCCAUCGUGGCGCACGCGCCGCUGGUGUCGAGCACGUCGGACGGCGCCGGGGAGGAGCAGGACCUCCAGAGCUCCACGCCCCAGUCGCCGCCGCCGUGGAUGUUGCUGCCGCCGCCGUCCUCGGGCGCCACCUCAUCCCGGAUGGCAUUGAGGCAAACCACCAGGAACUUGGACGGGCGGUCGAAGUCGAGGGGCGGCGCAGGGUCGACGCGAGGGGCGCGAGGCGUCGAUGCGGAGGAGGAGAGGGGCAGCGCGGGGUCGACGCGGAGGAGAGAGGCGGUGCGGGGUCGAUGCGAGGGGCGGCGCGGCGUCGAUGCGGAGGAGGAGAGGGGCGGCGCGGCAGCUGCGGGCGAGCGGUGGCGGAAACGGAUGGGGAGAGAUUGAGGCGGCUGCGGAUGGGGAGCAGCGGCGAUUGGAUGCCGGACACGGAGUUGGCGGUGGAGGCGGCGGCGGCGGUUGGCAAGCGACGGCGGCAACGAAUGGCGAGCGGCAGCAUCCGCUAGCAUGAGAAGUGGAUGGACGGGAACUGAACACCACCCACGACGGAAGACCCACGUUCGGGAAAAAAGCUGGAAAAAAAACCCGGGAGAACCGUUUGAGAAAAAAACUGGUGGGAGGGGCGGGAGAAAAGGUGAGAGCCGGAUCCGCGGGUGAGCUCGGGUACGGAAUAGCCUAUUCCGUACCCAGGGUAUUACAUAGUAUAGUCCUAUAUAUAUAUAUAUAUCUAUAUAUAUGUAUAUAUAUAUAUAUAUAUAUAUAUAUUCAUAACUAGCAAUAUAUGCCCGUUGGUACGGGUGAAGACUAUAUGCGUAUAUUAUCACACUGCAACAUUAAACAUGCUUUUGUAAAAGUUUGACAUAUUAUACACUAUUUAUGCUAUUUCUUAUAUAAAUAAAAGAGUAAAGAUCAUAAGGGAUUAAACAUAACUAAACACUAAAUUUCAGUGAUAUUACUCUAAGUAAGAGGACUAUGGGUUAAUUCCUAUAAAAAAAGAGGACUGAGUGUUGCCAGCCCGAUUUUUCUUUUAUGUUGGCAGCUAGGUUUCUCUCUAGUUUCAUGCGAAGAAGGCAAAGGAUUCCCCCCGGUUGGAACGGGGUUUCUCUGUGAUCUUGCACACGGAAGGUCGAUUCUCCGGGUUUCAUCUAGCCCAUUAAGCGGCAGGGUCAGCUAGCACUGCCGUUGCCCUCUUCCAUCCGCCCCCUCUAUGCCGUCGGCGGCUCACUGCACAAGGAGCCCAGGAGAGCACGCUCGUCGGAACUAGCUCACUCCCGUACCAAUGCCGUCUCGCCCUCCUUCCUCCGCGACCCCAGUGUGCCCCCGCUCCACCAUCUUGAUAGUUCACCUUCCUGUCACCUCGUCCUGUCUUCUCCAAACCACUGCCAUCUCAUUGUGCCCUCCUUCCACUACUGGAGAAUUGACCUUUCAUCCUGGUGUUUUUAUCCCGGUAAACAUUGGUGCCUUUAGUCCCAGGUCAAAAAUGAGGCACCAAAAGCCCACCGCCUGUUGGGGGAGGGGGGGACGGCUUUAGUCCCAGUUAUAAAGACCAACCGGAUCUAAAUUCCCCCUAGUCCCAGUUGUAACAGCUAAAAAUAUCGCAACGACGGGCGCCCACUUUUGUCCGGGACAAAAGGGGGAAUCGUUUGUCCCGGUUGGAAUUUCCAACAGGGACUAAACCUCCUCCCUAUAAAUCCAACCAGCCCGAAACUCUUUUUCCUUCCCCAGCACGAGCCACUCCACUAGAGACAUCCUCCUCUCCAUGGCGAGCAAGCAACCUUAGGGGAGGUGCUGCCCGAAUUUUUUCCUCAUUUCUGUGGGGAUUUGACUCAUCCAAAGUGUUGUGAAGGUUAGCUACUUCAUCCUCCCUUCAUUUAUUGUUAUUAUACUUUGUUUUAUGAUUUAGAGAGGGAGAAAAAUAAGUUUUUUAGAAUGAGGGAGAAUGGAGAGGAUUUUUAUUUAUAUAUGUUUUCGAGCUAGAAUUUGAUGGAUAGUUUGCUUGUUACAUAUUAUUUCUAUUAGUAAAAAGAACUUGAUCAAUAUUAGGUAUGGGAAAAAAUAGAGUAAAUGUGUGUUUAAUAUUUAGUCAUUGCAAUAAAAUUAAAGUAAAUAAAUUGUAGGUGUAAGAAAAUAGAAUUUGGUCAUUGCUACAAUUUUUCAUGUCACUAUAAUUUAACAAUAAUUGUAUUUCUUUGACCAAUAAUUUAUUUAUCUCAUGUUUAAUGCAAGAACUAAAUACUAUAAAUACACUUACUCUACUUUUUCCCCUUCCUAAUAUUGAUCAAGGUAUUAAUGUAAUACUAAACCCUAUGUUCAUUUUCUACGUAAUACGAUGCAGAUGGACCGAUAAUGGAUGUUCCACCUCCGUUCCUCCAAUCUUAGAGAACAGUAUCUGCACAUGGCAUAAUGUACUUUUACUAUUCUCUGCACAUAACUCAAUCUUUUCCGAAGUCUAUGGGGAGUCAUCUCCGCUCCUCCAGUGCCAGAAAAUAAUGGUAGAACAUAAGAGCUUCGAAUCCACAAACACGGGUUGAAUAUCAUAAAAGAAUCUUGAAAUAGUAUUCCAAAUGCCUUUUGGAACCUAAUUCUCACAAUAGAAGUAUGUUGGCCCAAUAUCCUCUUCAAGCAAAGAUCUAUUCACUGACCUUGACCUAGCAGCUUUUAGUUUGUUUUGGCUUGCCACCAUGGGCCAUGCUCAGUGAAUAGAUCUUUUGCCUGUACGAGCUAUUGUGUGUGUGCCACCACACUUCUAUUAUGAGAAUGUGGCACUUGCUCCAAAAGACAUUUGAACAAUUAUUUCAAGAUUCGUUUACGAUAUUAAGCCCGAGUAUGUGGAUUCGAGGAUCUUCUGUUGUACCAUUAUUUUCUGGUACUGGAUAUGUGGAGGUGACUCUCGAUAGACUUUGGAGAAGAUUGAGUUAAGUGCACAGAUGGAUUGGAGGAUGAACAUUCUACUAUGUUGUACCAUUAUUUUAGGAUAAUUGACUACGUGAAGUCUAUCACGGAGUGUCUGUAAUCUUUAGUGUACAUGUAUCUUUAUUGUCUUAUUAUGAGUGUAAUCUUCAUAUGUAUCUUUAUUGAUUAUUAUGAAUGUAGAAUGGUGUAAUUUUCAUGUGAAUUGUUUUUAUCUUUAUGAAGGUUGAUUGGUGUAAAUUAUGAAUAUUGAUCAAGUUCUUUAUCUAAUACGAAGACCUAUGUCCAUUUCUCACGUAAUAUUUAUUUAUCUAAUUUUUUUAAGGACCACAUAUUAUUAUCACAUUAACUCUAUUUUUUCCCUACCUAAUAUUGAUCAAGUUUUUUAUCUAAUACGAAAACCUAUGUCUAUUUCUCCUAUAAUACGAUGCAGAUGGACCGGCAAUGGAUGUAUAACGUGGAUAGACAGAUCAAGGAGUUUGUUGAUGGCUUGCAUUAUUUUCUCGAAGUGGCCAAAGCCAACAAGCUAGAGAACAGAUUCAUAUGCUGUUCAUGCUUCCAAUGUAGUAACAAGAAGGACUACUCUUCCUAGAGGACUGUUCACAGCCACUUGUUUAGAUACGGUUUCAUACCUAACUAUUUGAUUUGGACCAAGCACGACGAAAGAGGGGCUAUAAUGGAAGACGACGAAGAAGAAGAGGAUGAUAACAACAUUCCGGACUGGGUUGCAGGCCAAGCUUUUGCAGAUACUACAAUGGGCGAGGCUGAUGAAGAUGAGUUUGUAGAAGAUGGCCCUAUUGAUGAUCUUAGUCAGGUGCUAUGGGAUGCACACAGAGAUUAUGAAACUGAGAAGGAAUCAUAAAAGUUGCAGCGCAUGAUAGAUGAUCACAAAAAUUUAUUGUACCCAGAUUGCAAGCAGGGGCAUAAAAAACUGGGUACCACACUAGAAUUUGUGCAAUGGAAGGCACAAAAUGGUGUGUCCGAUAAGGUAUUUUAGGGGAUAUUGAAACUUGUAAAGAAUAUUCUUCCCGAGAAUAAUGAAUUGCCGUCCAUAACAUAUGAAGCUAAACAGGUUGUUUGCCCUCUGGGAUUGGAGGUUCAGAAGAUACACGCAUGCCCUAAUGGUUGUAUUCUCUAUCGUGGUGAUGAAUAUGGGAAAUUGGAUGCUUGUCCUGUGUGCGGCGCACUGCGAUAUAGGAUCAUGCGAGAUGAUCCUAGUGAAGUCGAGGGGCAGCAACCCAAGAAGAGAGUUCCCGCAAAGGUGAUGUGGUAUUUCCCUAUAAUACCACAUUUGAAGCGUUUUUUAAGAAACAAGGUGAAUGCUAAGUUGAUGCGAUGGUAUAAGGAAGAACAUAAGCAAGAUGAGAUGCUGAGACACCCCGCGGAUGGGGCCUAGUGGAGAUCAAUAGGUAGAGCUUUCCCGAACUUUGAAAGUGAUGCAAGGAACUUAAGGUUUGGUUUAAGUACUGAUGGAUUCAAUCCAUUUGGUGAGUUGAGUAGUGGUCAUAGUACUUGGCUUGUGACCCUAGGUAUGUUCAACGUUCCUCCUUGACUGUGCAUGAAGUGGAAGUUCAUUAUGAUGCCAGUGCUUAUCAAGGCCCAAAAUAACUCAGCAACAACAUUGACGUGUACCUAAGACUGUUGGUUGAUGAACUUCUACUGCUCUGGAAGGAAGAAGGUGGACGUGUGUGGGAUGAGGAUAAACAAGAGAGCUUUGACUUACGAGCAUUGUUGUUUGUAACCAUCAAUGAUUGGUCUAGGCUUAGUAACCUUUCAGGAUAGACAAACAAGGGAUAUCGGGCCUGCACCCAUUAUUUAGACGACACAGAAAACAUGUAUUUGAAACACUAUAGGAAGGUCAUGUGUAUAUGGGCCAUCGUCGAUUUCUUCCUGCUAACCACCCGUUAAGAAAAGAAAGGGAUGCAUUUCAAAGGGGUACCAUACCAUCGUAAAAAACCUGCACACCAUACUGGAAAGCGUGUCUUUGAGAUGAUAAAGGAUGUAAGGGUAGUCUUUGGAAAGGAUCUUGGUAGUGAACCUGUUUCAAAUGACGAUAAUGGAUGUGCACCCAUGUGGAAGAAGAAUUCUAUAUUUUGGGAGCUACCUUAUUGGGAAAUCCUAGAGGUCUGCAACGCAAUAAACGUGAUGCACCUGAUGAAAAAUAUUUGCAUGAACAUGCUAGGAUUCAUAGGUUAUUAUGGGAACUCAAAAGAUACAUUGGAAGCAUGACAGAACCUGAAAUGUACGAAGCAAUGAGAUGACCUACAUCCGUAAAAGAGAGAUAGCGAACAGCACUACUUACGUCCUGCCAGUUACACUCUCAGCAAGGAAGAGAAGGAUAGCAUGUUUGAAUGCAUGAAUAGUAUUAAAGUUCUGUAUGGGUACUCCUAGAAUAUAAAGGGAAUAAUAAAUAUGAAAGAAAAGAAGUUCAGAAAUCUCAAGUCCCAUGACUACCACAUGUUGAUGACCCAGUUGCUUCCAGUUGUACUGAGGGGUAUUCUACCAGAGAUUGUACGAUUGACGCUCGUAAAGCUAUGCGCUUUUCUCAAUGCGAUUUCGCAUAAGGCAAUCGAUCCAACCAAGCGAGUAAAGCUACAGAACAAUGUGGUACAAUGUUUUGUCAGUUUUGAGUUGGUAUUUCCACCAUCCUUCUUCAAUAUUAUGUCGCAUCUCCUAGUUCACUUAGUCAAAGAGAUUACUAUUCUCAGUUCAGUAUUUCUGCACAAUAUGUGGCCUUUUGAGAGGUUCAUGUCAGUCCUAGAAAACUAUGUUCAUAAUCGUGCCCGUCCAGAAGGAAGCAUCGCCAAGGGAUAUGGAACAGAGGAGGUCAUUGAGUUUUGUGUUGACUCAAUUAAUUUGAUUGGGGUUCAACAUCAUGCCACGAGGGGAGGUUGCGGGGAAUGGGGACCCUUCGAAGGAAAUCAAGUUUUAGCAAUGAUACCAAUUUGUUCCACAAAGCACACUUCACUGUUCAACAACAAUCAUCCUUUGUGGCUCCGUAUAUCGAGGAACACAAGCAGAUUCUAUUUUCCCAAUACCCGACGAAAUCCGAUGCCUGGAUUAUACGUCAUCACAUGGAUACUUUUACCUCUUGGUUGCGUCAACACCUUAUGGGUAACUACGCGAUUCACGAACAAAUCGCUUGGUUAGCUGGGGGACCUUCUAGCACAAUCGUGAAACUCGCUUGUUUAGGUCAUGCACGAACACUCUAGGCAAAGUGGAAAUUUAUUACUGAUUUUCUAUACAAGUACACUGGAUGCCAAACAUUAGCAGAAUGCUUAUGUUCCGACAAAUUAGUUCCACUGCUAAUUUUGGUCAAACAACUCCUUUAUGCUCAUGUUAGUUCGUCUUUUGAUUCCAGUACUUAGCUCUGUUCACUAAAUUCACUGUUCCUAUUCUCAUGCUUGUUCAUACCAUGUCCGUAGGAGUGAUACCUUGACUUUUAUGAUUUGUGAAAUCUUCCUUUUCGUAAUCAUGGAUGCCUUUGUAUUUCAAAAGUAAAGGAUGACGAAGUUUUCCAUUGCUUAUUUGAAUCUUCUGUGUUAUGCAUCUAUUCUGGUACUAUAGUUUGCAUAUCUUGCUCUUGUAAUGAAUUUUGCUAUAGUUCUUGCCAGUUUUUGGCAUUCUCAAGAAUAGAUUUGUGAAAUCUUCCUUUUUGUAAUCAUGCAUGCCUUUGUACUUCAAAAGUAAAGGAUGAUGAAAUUUUCCGUUGUUUAUUUGAAUCUUCUAUGUUAUGCAUCUAUUCUGGUACUAUAGUUUGCAUAUCUUUCUCUUGCAAUGAAUUUUGCUAUAGUUCUUGCUAGUGUUUGGCAUUCUCAAGAAUAAACAAAUCAUUAAUGCCUUUCACAGGGUCAAGACUGUUUCAUCUGCAAAAAAGGAGGUCAUAUGGCGAAAGACUGCCCUGAUAAGCACAAGAGGAAUGAUCAUCAAUCCACUUUGUGUUUAAGAUGCGGAGAAAUAGGUCACGAUAUGUUUGGAUGUACCAAUGAUUACCCAGCAGAUGAUAUUAAGGUGAGUGUUUCUCUUGUUUUAGCUAAUAUGUUAUCUUGCUAUCAUCGAUUUUUUGUUUGUUGGUAUUUGUUUUUCAUGCUCUCCUCUCUAGUAUUGGUCUAAAGAAAAAUGCAUAUAGAAGAAUGAAGUUUUAGGUAGUUUUUUUUUUCGUUUUUGAGUGCAAAUCGUGUCUGGGCUAGGUGACUAGGCUCUAGGACUCAUGAUUCUAUGAACUGGGUAAAUUUUUUGCCGGGUCCUGCCUUUCAGUGGAAGGUGCCCUCUAUGUAAAAUCCCUGAAUCUUGCAUGUACAAUUUUGCAAACCACUGGAAGGUGCCCUCUAUGUAAAACUUAACUACUCAUGCUGUGCAAUAGUGUCCAUGUGCAAGUUUAGAUCCACGAAGCUCCUAAUCAUGAAUUAUCUAGAAGAGUUUUCCCCUUAUUAAUGACUGUUUCGGAUCAUGCAGCAAAUAAGAUGCUACAUGUGUAAUCAGAAUGGUCAUCUAUGCUGUUUCGACUUCUCUGACAAUAGCCCCAAACAAAUUAGCUGUUACAAUUGUGCCAAAUCUGGUCAUUCUGGUCUGGUAAGUUUUAAUGCUUAUAAGUUAUUAUUUGUGCUGUUUCCAUAUGUUGCUUUUCAUGGCAGGUGAUUAACAUUGGGCCUUCUAUUCUAGGGGUGUGCCAAGCAACGCAGGGAAACUAGUGCUGUCAUAACUGCAACCCAAUGCUACAAAUGUGGCGAGGAAGGCCACUUCGCACGUGGCUGCACAAAGAAUGCCAAGGUUGUUAUAAGCAUCUCACAAAUUGUCUGCCAAUUAGAGUGGGCCCGUUUGGUUCCCUUUGCUUAUUUUUAAGCAAGUGUCACAUCAAUGUUUAGAUACUAAUUAGGAGUAUUAAACGUAGACUAUUUACAAAACUCAUUACAUAAGUGGAGGCUAAACAGCGAGACGAAUCUAUUAAGCCUAAUUAAUCCAUCAUUAGCAAAUGUUUACUGUAGCAACACAUUGUCAAAUCAUGAACUAAUUAGGUUUAAUAGAUUCGUCUCGCCGUUUAGCCUCCACUUAUGUAAUCGGUUUUGUAAAUAGUCUACGUUUAAUACUCCUAAUUAGUAUCUAAACAUUCGAUGUGACGGGUGCUUAAAUUUAAGCAAGGGAACCAAACCAGGCCUUAACUGUGUAUUUAUGCCGUUCUGUUUCUUUUUUUUUUCGAGUCCGAUCGGUCGAAAGGCAAGUCAUCAUCGCACAGUCAGAGAAAGGAAAAAUGGAAAAAAGAUUCAAGUGCUAGAUCGGCUCCUCAUGAUGCCCGUAAAACAAGUAAAAGGAAAACAAGUCAUCAUCGCACGUGGCUGUUGGUUCACUUGGCGUUGACUCUAAGCAAGCUCACUUGGCGUUGUGCUCCAGUUCAUGCCUACUGCAAAGCAGCAAGAAAACAAACCUAUGAACAUCAGACAGUUGCACACACAUUAUCCAUAACCAUCACAACACAAUUCACGACACAUCUAGCACUCGAUGGUGGUCAGCAGGCGCCGGUCUUGGACUCUUGGUGUCGUUGGCCGCGCGCGCCGCGGCGUCGGUCGGGGGCCAGCAGCCUGUCAGAGCAACCGGCUGCCGAGGCGACCUGGAGGAGCCAAAACCCUAUGAGACGCUGGCGUGGCUGCCUCAGUUUGUUCCGAUGUGGCUGCGCGGGGUCGCUGCAGUGCUGCUCUUCCUUUUCGACGGGGUGCUGAGCGGCAAGCUGCCCUAUUGUAGCCCCUCAUGCACGGCUCCGGCUCCUAUUGUAGAGCUACUGUUCUGCCCUGUAGCGAGGAGCCAAAACGCGUAUCGAUGCUUAAGAUGAACCCGGGAGGAGGGGUAGCCGGUGAACCUAGAAAAUAUGGCUUACCCGACUCCAGUGGAGCCAGAGCCAGCUGGAGCUGUGCCAAACAGGCUCUUAUUGAUCUUACAGGGAUAACAUAUGUAUAUAAUGUUGGUUAGGUGAGAAUGACUAUAUAAACAAAUUGUCUCAUAGUAUCAUCUAGGCAUGCUAAUGGGUUGAAACCCGCCCCAACCCGCAAUAAAUUAACUCAUUCACCCACCCUGCCCCGCUCCAUAAUUCUAUUAUCUAAACCCAACCUAACCCGCUCCACCAAAUGAUAUAAUCCAUGGGUUUGGUAUAUGAACCUACGAGUUUGUAUAAACCUCACGUUUGCACCUUAAAAUUUUAUAGAGAAAUUGACUGAAAUUUGUUGUAGAUGAAUCAAUUUCACAGUCCCCUACUUUGUGCACGGUAGUGCAACUGGAGUAUAUAUGUGGGCUCGCGUCAAGAGUUGGACCCGAACGCUAAAACCUCACGUUCACACUAUAAUUUUAGAGAAAUUGAAUGAAAUUUGUUCUAGAUGAAUCAGUUUCACAGUCCCCUACUUUGUGCAAGGUAGUGCAACUGGACUAUAUAUGUGGGCCCCACGUCAAGAGCCGGACCCUAAAGCUAAAACCUCGCGUUCACACCUGAAAAUUUUAGAGAAAUUGACUGAAAUUUGUUGCAGAUAAAUCAGUUUGACAGUCCGCUACUUUGUGCAAGGUAGUGCGGCUGGAUUUAUAUAUGGGCCCCACAUCAAGAGCCGGACCCUAAAACGUAAAUCUCGCAUUCACACAUUAAAAUUUUAGAAAAAUUGAUCGAAAUUUGCUGGAGGUGAAUCAGUUUGACAGUCCACUACUUUGUGCAAGGUAGUGUGGCUGUACUUAUAUGUGGGUCCCGCGUCAAGAGCCGGAUCCUAAAACUAAAAACUCAUGUUCACACCUUAAAAAUUGAUCAAAAUUUGCUGGUGAUGAAUCAAUUUGACAGUCCGCUACUUUGUGCAAAGUACUGUGACUGAAUCCACAUAUGGAUCCGACGUCAACAGCCGGAACUUGAAACUUAAACAUUUAAACAUAUGAGUUAAACCCAUACGAACUCAAACAAAAAAAGGGCCACUUCCAACCUACCCCAACCCGCAUUUGCGAUAUACCUAACCCGCCCCAAUCUAUUAGAUACUAAAACCCAUUUAACCCAUUCAAACAUAACCCGCGUCACAAUCUGCCCCAUAAAACCCAUUGAACCGGCCCCAUUAGCAGGCCUAGUAUCAUGCUGUAUUUGACUACUUUAGUCUCUAUGGGCCACGAUGCUAUCAAAAUUCAUUGAAUUUAAGUAUGUUUUGAAUUAUUUUCCACUGGAUGCGAGAUGGCCUUUUAGAAGUUGGGCAUCCUAUAAUUUGACGUUUUCUAUAUGUCUUAUAUUAAUUACUAUUUAGUAACUCUUAUCUAUUUUUUUAUUAAAUAUUUGUAGAAAAUAUCAUCAAUAUAUUAAAUGGCCUAAUAUUAACAAACUAACUUCUAUCCCUGCUUCAUGUUUCACUACUUUCAAGGCUUCUCUUUAAGUUAGAUUCUUUUUCAUUAAGCAAAUGCUGUGAUCAUGAUAGUAAAUAGUAGCCACACGUUGAAAAAAGCUCAACAAGCUUGUAGUUAAGCUGAACACUUUUUUGACCAAAUGGAAUGACCACGAUACUAUUCACAUGUCCAAAGAAUGUCAACAAGCUUGUAGUUAAGAUAUAAUCCUAGCCAUUUUUGCAGUUCUUUUUUAGUAACAUCUAAAACUAGAAGAAUAGUAACUAUUAUAAAUUAUUUCUUUUUAAUAGUUUCGAACACAAACACUAUUGAAACCAUCUAUGGAGUGUCUCUUUUAGGAUACAGUAUACCUUCACAAGUAAUAUAAUGAAUUAUCUUCUCUAGAGAUCAAUUUAAUUAUCUUUAUUCAUUACAAGCAAAUAAUUUUAUAAUUUAUAACAUAAUGUAGUAUAUGCAAAAAGCUUAUAAAUGUUUGCAUUAUAAUUUCACAUAGAACUUUAUAAAACUCUUCGAAAUAGUUUUCCCUUUUGUUGCAUUUUCCAAUUUUUAAUGUUACAAUAAAAUUCUCAUUUUUACUUCUGAUCUCUUUAUCAUGUAAAUUUUGUUUUUUAAUGACUAUGCACACUUACCCAUAAAAGAGCACACACAUUAGAUCCACAUACCCUUGACCUCCUAUUUCUAUCGCAACCCACAAAUAAUCCGCAAAAAUGCUCUUAUGUGCAUAAAUCAUAGGCAACAUGAUUUGAAUCCUUAUGGAUGGAUUCGUACCUAUACAUCUAAACUGCGCCAAAGAGGUGGUUUUAGUAUAAAUAAGUCUAAAAUGCUCUUAUGUGCAUAAAUCAUAGGCAACAUGCAUGAUUUGAAUCCUUAUGGAUGGAUUCGUACCUAUACAUCUAAACUACGCCAAAGAGGUGGUUUUAGUAUAAAUAAAUCUAAAACUUAAUACUUUUAAAUAUGCCUCUAGACAAAAAGAUAUUUAUCUACAACGCAGUCUAGUGUUGUUAUAUAUGCUAUAGGUGACAGACUUAACUUAGUCAUAUGUAAGACCUUACAUUGCUGUUUCGAUAUAUCGAACCAAGUAUCUUGCAUUACUAGAAUCCAUGUUCUAUAUUUGAAGUAGGAUAACCUCUAUGUUUCUCUCAUUGGUAGAUUUAUCUUCGUGUUAAUACACUUUCUCCAUAAAGAAAAUAAUGAAAAAGAGUUCGUGACGACCUAGUCUCCACUAUUAAAAAAAAGCAAAGCUAGAGGAGUAGGGUUAAAUGUUCCUCUUGAUAGAAAUAUUGAUAGCUUGUGCUCUUGAUAGAAAUAUUUUAGAAGUAAAAUAUAAAUUAUAGAAUGCUUCCAACUCAGUGAGCCUAGAAUCACCACUCUGUAGAUCACGAUGGAGGUGUCCUUCCAAUUCUAAAAAGCAGAGGGCUACUCCCACAUGGUGUGACAUAAAAUUGCAACUUGCAUAUAAGAACCUCUUGGAACUUGUUCUGUUCGGUUCUUUUAGUUUGAAUUGUAACCUCUUUAUUCUGGAAAUAACCGGGUCAUCUAGCAGUUCCAUUGAUUUGUUUUGCAGCUCUUCAAGAUGCCAAAAUGUACGGUCAGAUUCUUUCCUAGGGCUUAUCUACUAUAUUAAUUGUUGCCUUAUUCAUCGCUUUGUAGAUUUAUCCUCAAAAUAACCCUAAAUGAAUGACUUAGUUUCUUGAGCUAUUGAUCUAAUUGUCCACGACCGAUGUGUUAUUAAUUUUCAUUUCAUUUGGGUCCUAUUUUCAUUCAAUACCUUGUGCAUACAAAAUCUUGCUCUUAUUGCAAGAAUGAAGGUCACGUGGCAAAUGACUGCCUUGGAACAAAAGUGAGACAAAUUUGAUCAUUGGAUGUGAUCGAAUAGGGCAAGGCUAUCUAAUGAAGGCUAAGAUCAGUCCUAGUUUAGUUUAUUAAACUUUCCAGUUCAUUUUCAUGACUGCUUGGAUGUCCUUUUCCGUGCUGAGUAAUUGCAAAAGAUCGAAGGCAAUACAAAUACAAUCUUUGGCAGUAUGGAGGUGAGGUCAACUACAAUCUAUACUGACCAUUUGCUGCGGAGGAGGAAGAAGAAGAUGCAUAAACGGAAGCCCACAGAACCUAACUGAGCAAGCUGCCGAGUUGUCAAGUUGCAAAGGGGCACCAUCUUAUGCCUUGCAUGCCACCUUCAAGGCAUAGAAACUCCUGUCGAAAAGGCGGAUGAAGCGGUAACAUUUUAAAAUGCCACAAAAAAAAUUCUCCUUAAUUUCUUUUUUCGGGAGGCUUCGACUGUCUUGUGAGAAUAUUUUUAUUGGUGUCAAUUUAUGUUCAGAUGAAGCUGCACUGUUCCAAUAAGCACAACACCUUUAGGAUACCCUGGGAGAAAAUGUUUUUCUUGUUUAUCUAGGAUGUAGAGAGACAUCAGCUUGCAUCAGUACAUAUUCCAUAGAAUUUGAUGUUAUGGUAAAUAAAUAAUUUUUCCCCAAUGGUAGUGUUGAUGCGAAAACGCACCGCGCCAAAUACUUGAGCACUGAAGAACGUGCAGUCCGCAAAGACGCUUCUUGUUGUGUCGAUGUGGAAGCCGGUCAGAUCGGUAUGGCAGGACGGUUUGGAUCGGUCUCGCCAGAGAGCUCGGCAAGGAUCCAACGAAUGCCCACUCGGGAGGGACCCCAUCGGGCAGGAACACCUUGGUUGCCUAGCAGGACAGCUAGGGCACCACCACAUGCUAUGGAGACAGGAGAUUGAUUUUUGAUCGAUUGGAUACCCUCAAUCGGUCAUAGCACUUUAUAUUUAUAGAAAGGGGAUGUCUUACCCAUUAAGAUUUGAAACUCUUACAAAUCCUUGUCAAAAUACAUCUCCUAAUUCAACUGGUUCAACCGCCCUAUGAAACUAGUAUGACCGGUUUUCCUAGAUCUUCCCAAAGUCAUAACUCCUUCAUCUGAACUCCAAAUUAGACGUUCUAUAUAUCAUUUUGAUUGUCUUGAUGAGAGAUACGUAAUGGUGAAGUCUAAUUUGCAAUUUGAGCAAUUUAUGUAAACCGAUCUGAUAGGUUUAGAGACCGGUUCGCUCAGAUCAAUUUUGGUCGUCAACAGGUAGCAAAAAUGAACAUAAUAUUGGCAUUUCAUUCAUACAUGUUGUUGCUGUUCAUUGGUGACUUUAAAGGGCAGCCUUUAUCUUUUAGUUUGAAUUGUAACCUCUUUAUUCUGGAAAUAUCCGGGUCAUCUAGCAGUUCCAUUGAUUUGUUUUGCAGCUCUUCAAGAUGCCAAAAUGUAGGGUCAGAUUCUUUCCUAGGGCUUAUCUACUAUAUUAAUUGUUGCCUUAUUCAUCGCUUUGUAGAUUCAUCCUCAAAAUAACCCUAAAUGAAUGACUUAGGGGCCGUUUGGUUUCUCUGACUUAUUUUUAGGACAUGUCACAUCGAAUGUUUAGAUACUAAUUAGGAGUAUUAAACAUAGACUAUUUACAAAACCCAUUACACAGCUGGAGGCUAAACGGCGAGACGAAUAUAUUAAGCCUAAUUAGUCCAUGAUUUGAUAAUGUGAUGCUACAGUAAACAUUUGCUAAUGAUGGAUUAAUUAGGCUUGAUAGAUUCAUCUCGUUGUUUAACCUCCAUCUGUGCAAUUAGUUUUAUAAUUAACUCAUAUUUAGUCCUCCUAAUUAGCCUCCGAAUAUUCGAUGUGACACGGACUAAACUUUAGCUCGAUGAACCAAACACCCCCUUAGUUUCUUGAGCUAUUGAUCUAAUUGUCCACGACCGAUGUGUUAUUAAUUUUCAUUUCAUUUGGGUCCUAAUUUCGUUCAAUACCUUGUGCAUACAAAAUCUUGCUCUUAUUGCAAGAAUGAAGGUCACCUGGCAAAUGACUGCCUUGGAACAAAAGUGAGACAAAUUUGAUCAUUGGAUGUGAUCGAAUAGGGCAAGGCUAUCUAAUGAAGGCUAAGAUCAGUCCUAGUUUAGUUUAUUAAACUUUCCAGUUCAUUUUCAUGACUGCUUGGAUGUCCUUUUCCGUGUUGAGUAAUUGCAAAAGAUAGAAGGCAAUACAAGAACACUUCCAUUGGAGAGGUGAGCACGAGCUGAGCUCCCCCUUUCCCCGCCGGCGGCCACUCCGGCCCCGGCAUCCACCUCCGCCGUAAUACCUCCCCUAGCCCAGCCCCUCGUUCCCUCCGCCGGUGUUCACUCCGACCCUGGUGUCCACCUCCUACUUUGUAAACCCCCAACCUUCCCCCCCUCCCCCCUCGUUAGCGACCAUUCUGGUGCGGCUGCACUUGAUUCUCCUCAAGUGAAGUUGUCUCUAGGCUUCCUCGGUUAGGCUUUUCUCGCCCUUCUCUGCUUGAGCCAUGGAUUUUUCCAAAUUUGAUUUCGCCUUGGGAAAAGCUUUCAGCAAGAAAGUCUUUGAUCUUUGCAAAUGCAAUGUCAAUUCGGAUGGAACACCAGCAAGCGAGGGUUUUUCCUUGCUGGUCUCUUUUAGCAGGAACAGAUUCAGACUUACUGAGGAUUCAUCGGUCAAUAUUUGCCUCCAAUCUGUUCUGGGGGGCAAGGCACAUCUCUUGAAGGCUGAGCAGAUGGAGGAUCAAAUUUUCAAGCUCAAAGUCUCAUCUUACCAUGUGGGUUUUUUAAUCUGUGAGCUUGGCUCCCUUCCAUGUGAGUGGUUCAAUUUAGCCUUCUUUCUCUACAAUGAUGGUGGUUUUCACAAAGCCCUCUCUUUCGCUAAGAAAGAUUCUAGCCCCUCCUUCACAUGGGAAUCUCCCAAGUCUAGAAGUUCCAAGGGUUCUUAUGCCUAUGCUGUUAAGAACAACCACGUGGCAGUUCAUAAUGAUCGUCCAUUUAAUCAGAGUUUUCCUCCUCUUUCGGGAGCUAAUGCUGUCUCCAUUGGCAAAGGUAGAGGUAACUUGCAUUCUGGCAUCACCUCUGGAACAAUUAGUUUUUUUGAGGUUGGAAUUUCCUCGAAAAUCAGUGUUUACAAGACUUAGUUCAGCUUCAUCAGGGUUUUCCUCAAGCCGUUACUCUUUCAAAUUAAAAAAUCGACAACAAGUCAAAGAUCUUGGGCCGAAAGGCGUAUUGUUUUCGAAGCCCAAUUCUGUAGCUAGGGUAGAGCUUAAUUGUAAAAGGUGUCUACUGCCUAACCGCACAACGGUGUGCAUUAACCCGAUCAAAUGCUGGCGGUGUAAUUAAGAUGGGCACAUCUCCAAGGGCUCUGCCUCUUUUCACGGGAUCCAAAAAUUUAUGGCGCUGUGUAACCAUCCCCUAACUAGUAACUUCUCUUCUCUCAUCCCAAUUGACGCUUGGCCUUCCGAUGUUUGGCGCUAUUGGUUCAGGAAUGCUUCCAAGCCCAAUUUGCAAAACCUCCAACAAGGCCCGGCUCUUGGGACGCCGUCCCCUGCUGACUACAGUGUUCCAAUAAUUGCCACCUCUUCGGCUAUCUCACUCUCACCGUCUCCUUCUCCAACUUCCCCCAAAAAACCCCAGUCUACUGUUGUGGUGGAGGUUGGUGCCGGCGAAACCCAGCUAGAAGCAAUGGCAUUCCUCAACAUCAAUCCAGCACCGAUGAUGCUUCCAGGCUUCCAUAGGAUUUUGGUCCAAGGAAGGCCUAGGUUCUCAAGGGUGAUAACUCCAAGAACGCCUCGGGCAAAUGAAGACCUAGCGAUCGUCACCAUCACUGACCCCCCUCCGGAUGAAAUUCCUUUUGCCGAUACUAGAGAGUUUAUUAUGGGUUUGCUAGAAGGGCACUAUGAGUUGCGGGUUACGGAGAUUCAGCGUAGUCCUUUUGCUAGAGCCCAAGCUUUUGUUAGAAUGGGUCGAGUGACCGAUAGGGAUGCUCUCGUCCAUCGCAGUCCUCAACAGUUCCAAGGUCUCAACAUUGAGAUUGUCCCGCACAAUAGAGGUCCCAAUGCACGCAGAGUUCUUUUCAAUAGAGAAUGUUGGCUCAUGCUUAUUGGGUAACCGGUAGAUGCUCGCUCUGUAGAUGAGAUACGAGACACCAUCAAGUCUUUUGGUAGACUCAUCUGCUAGCAAAAGGAAAAUGUUUUGGCACGUGUGGUCGUAAAGGCAAGGGUCACUGAGUUGGAGGACAUUCCACACUACCUGGUUCUGUCAGAAGGAGACGACUUUGAAGGGGUCUCUCUCACUGUGCAAGUAGCGAUUAUACACCAAAAUGUGCUUGGUGGAGGGUUGCAAGAUGAGUACAUUCCACCGCCAAGUGUCGAAGGGGACUUCAUCUUUCCUAGAAUUGGCCCGGCAUAGCCUCAACAAGAACUUCACCAACAUAUUCAGGGUCAGGCCCACCAGCCUAAUCUAAUCCCUGACCUUAAUGACUUCCUUUUGGAAGAUGACAACAAUGCUCAGCAAGAGGAGGACCAGAACAAUGAUGGCCCACUUGAUGGUGAGGACGAAGAAGCCCAACAAGACAUCCUUGAUUUGGAGCUCAGCCUUUCUGCUCCUGUGGCAUCCAAGACCGAUUCCUCAUCUGACAGUGGGAACAUCUCCAAAAAGCAAGUGAACAUUGCUAUAAAUGCAGAAGAUGACCAAGCCCAGGAAGGAAUUCAAGAAGGCCCAAAGGAAGAGGUUAACUAUAAUGAAGACACACAUCAGCAAAUUCAGCAGAAUCCAGCCAUUCAACCAGCAAUUGAUGAAAUUGGAGGAAACUUCAUUAUUGGGGACAACUUCUUUCCUGAUUUCCUACCAGCCAUUCAAAUUCAGAACCUUGGGCUCAAUGUGGACUUGAAUCAACCCUUGGAGGCCCAGAUGGGGUCAAAUUCCCCGGAAAACCAAUAAUGUUGAUAAUCAGCCCAUGAUACUACAGCAGGGAGGGGAUCUGGGAACUCACAGUCAGGACCACUAUGAUCCUGUGGAUGAUCCAUUGGGAUCUGGUAGACUGCACAUCAAUAUGGCCACUUGGAACACUGCAGAGGCUGAUCCAGGAUGGAUGAUGCAUUCGUAUAAAGCUCCUGCAGAUGUAUACAGACUUUGGGCAAGGCACUUCUCUAUGACAGAUGGAUCAAGACAGGUGAUUGAUAUUCCCGCAAACUGGGCAAGUUUUUUCACCAUCACACUUUGAUUGGGCAAAGAGUUUUCUGUCCUCUAAAGCUUGGAAUUUUAUUGUUUCAUCCAACAAUUCAUCUAUCUUACCUUUUGCCUUACCCCCUGUCUGUCCACAAAAUGUGGAAAUAUAGUGCAUCCACCCUUCGGACAGCAAUGAAGGCACAGGCAAAUUCUACAACCAGCAAACCAAGGAUAAAGCAAGGAGAGGUCCUAUAAUAGAGACGAAGACUAGAUGAAGCCCAAGAUUGAGGGACAAGAAUGGUGGGUUCAAACAUAAAAGUUGUCUCAGUAAGAAUUGUUUAGCUUGUGCAGCCAGUCCUCCUACUCUCCCUAGUGCUCUUAUUAAAACCAAUUAAAUCCAUUGGUUCUGACUUAUGCAAAAUAAACACAGAGGUGGUACCAAGCAGGAGCAGCCCCAUGAACCCGAUUGGCAGCAGGAUGGGGAGCACUUCUAAAAGAGGAAAGGCUAAAGGAAAAUUGGAGGACCGCGAAGUUCAGGAGGUCCCCAAGAAAUCCAAGAAGUAAGUACUCCCCGGACUGAUGGAGGGACCCAUUUUGUUAGAUCUGGAAAGCCUCUUAGGCAGUCUGUCUUUUGGUUUCUUGGGAAUUACUUUUAUUUUGUUAAAUCCUUUAACGUGGUGGAUCAUGUAUCCUCUGAACGAUGUGGACGCCUGGAACAUAAGGUUUCAAGUUUUAUGGCACUUAAUCAUAUCUGAUUGGAACUAUCUAGUAGGCAGCCUCAGAGUUACCUCUCUUUCUUCAGUUCUCCUGAUGGACCCUGUUAGUCAAUUUUUUUCCACAAUCUGGCAUGUUAUUUUUGAGCUAGUGUACAAGGAGGUCUACAAUCUUCCCUAUUUCUCCCAUGAAUCAAGACAAUAGCAAGAGAUCUUGGAAAGUCCUAUCCUGGAACAUAAGGGGGAUCAACUCUGAUAAUAAAUGGGAGGCGGUUCAGAGUAAAAUAAAGGAAUCCACUUGUGACAUUAUCUGCCUUCAGGAGACAAAAAGAGAAGCUUUUGACAUGCAAUAUAUUAAGAAAUUCUGUCCACCUACAAUGAUAGGCUACACCUUUCUCCCUUCGCAUGGCAACUUUGGGGGGAGUUUGAUUGUCUGGAAAGAAUCAAAAUUUGAAGGGGAACUGAUUUUUAAAAAUGAUUAUGCACAGUCGGUAAGUCUAACCUGUAAGGUCUCGGGAUAAAUCUGGAUCCUUACAAACAUUUAUGCACCAUGUAUUCCGAAAGGGAGGAUGCAAUUUUGAAACUGGUUUGGAACAUAGAAAUGCCGGAUGAACAACUCUGGAUGAUUGUAGGGGAUUUCAAUCUACUUCGUAAACCACAGGACAGAAACAAACCAGGAGGGAACAUACAGGAAAUGCUAUCCUUUAAUGCUGCAAUUAGUAAACUAAGGCGGGUAGAAUGACCACUGAGGGGUUGUCAGUACACAUUGACUAACAAACAACAUAACCCCCUUCUGGAAAGACUGGAUUGGUUCUUCACCUUAGCUAGUUGGACAACUUCUUUCCCAAACUCUUUUUCCUCAGCCUUGUCAAGAGAUACUUUUGAUCAUACACCGUGUGUAAUAACUGCUUGUACCAAUGUGCCUUAGCCCAAAGUAUUCAGGUUUGAGAAUUACUGGCUGGAACAUGCACACUUUAUCCCAAUCUUGCAACAUGCCUAUAGCCUACCCACACAACAAACUGACAGUGCAAAAAUAGUGACAGCAAGAUUCAAGAGCCUAAGAAGAGUCCUAAAGGAUUGGCAAAAACAACUCCCAAAUAUGGCUUCAACUAUUCAAACCUGCAUAGAUUUGAUCCUUUUCUUGGAUGUCUUGGAGGAAGAUAGAGAUCUUAGUACACACGAAUGGAACCUCAGACAUUCUUUGAUCCAACACUUGCAAACACUACUGCACCACCAAAGAAUUUACUGGAGACAGAGAGGAAACAUCAAGUGGGUGAAAUUAGGAGAUGAAUGUACCCAGUUUUUUCACGCCAACACAUCCAUAAAGAAUAGAUUGAACUCAAUAACCUCUCUGACGAAUCAGACAAGAGUAACCUUAUAUGAUCAUGAGGCUAAGGCAUCUCUCCUGUGGGAAAGCUUCAAAGAGAGGCUGGGAACCACAGAUUUCUCCCACAUGUACUUUGAUCUCCUAACACUUAUUCAAGUAGAACAUGAUCUAUAAUGGCUUCAUAGCCCUAUCACAAAGGAGGAAACAGACAAGAUAAUCCAUGAUCUACCAAAUAACAAGUCCCCAAGCCUAUUUCUCUUCUCAACUCCACAAUCAAAAUAAUCACUAAGAUCCUGGCUGAGAGACUUCAACAGGUUAUCAUGAGACUAAUCCAUGCUAACCAAUAUGGCUUCAUCAAAUCAAGAUCUAUUCAUGAUUGCUUGGCAUGGGCAUUUGAAUACCUACACAUCUGUAAAGUCUCAAAGAAGGAACUGGUAAUCUUAAAACUAGACUUUGAGAAGGCCUUUGAUAAAAUAGAACACCAGGCCAUACUGCAGAUUAUGAAGCAUAAGGGAUUUGGAGAGAAAUGGAUUAAAUGGAUUUCGGCAAUACUAAGGCCAUGUUUAGUUACUCCCAACUUCCAACUUUGACACUAUGCAAAAAGAAGAUUCCCCAUCACAUCAAACUUGCGGUACAUGCAUGGAGUACUAAAUGUAGAUGAAAUUAAAAAGUAAUUGCACAGUUUUGUUGUACUUUGCGAGACGAAUCUUUUGAGCCUAAUUAGUCAAUAUUUGGACAAUAAUUCACAAAUACAAACGAAACGCUACAGUGUGCUACAGUGCUGUAACAGUAAUUUGGCACCUCCCAAAUUCGCCAACUAAACAAGGCCUAAACUCAGGAACAUCCUUUGUCCUCCUAAAUGGCACACCUGGGAAAGUCUUUCACUGCAAGAGAGAAGUUAGGCAGGGUGACCCCCUUUCUCCUCUCCUCUUUGUUCUAGCAGCAGAUCUCCUGCAAACUGUGGUCAAUAAUGCCAACGAUAGGGGAAUUUUAAGUAGGAUAACCUCUAUGUUUCUCUCAUUGGUAUAUUUAUCUUCGUGUUCAUACACUUUCUCCAUAAAGAAAAUAAUGAAAAAGAGUUCUUGACGACCUAGUCUCCACUAUUAAAAAAAAGCAAAGCUAGAGGAGUAGGGUUAAAUGUUCCUCUUGAUAGAAAUAUUAAUAGCUUGUGCUCUUGAUAGAAAUAUUUUAGAAGUAAAAUAUAAAUUAUAGAAUGCCUCCAACUCAGUGAGCCUAGAAUCACCACUCUGUUGAUCACGAUGGAGGUGUCCUUCCAAUUCUAAAAAGCAGAGCACUAGUAGAGAAGUGACUUUCGAUCCACCCCCUUUUAUCCCGGUUUAAAAGUGGCCCGGGACAAAAGGGGGUGCGCUGGGGGGCGGGAAUUUGGAGGGGAGCAUUAGUCCCGGUUGGUAAUUGCAACCGGGACUAAAGGCCCCCCUUUAGUCCCGGUUGCAACGGCUAGGGGGGGGCGUCGGUGGCGGGACCCUUUUAUCCCGGUUGGAGGAUCCAACCGGGAUAAAAGGGACACCCUUUUAUCCCGGUUGGAGGCACCAACCGGGAUAAAAGGGUUAGUCCCGGUUGGUGCCUCCAACCGGGAUAAAAGGGUGUCCCUUUUAUCCCGGUUGGAUCCUCCAACCGGGACUAACUUUCCAACCGGGACAAAAGGUGUUUCCUUUUGUCUCGGUUGGAGUUUUUAACCGGGAUUAAAACUCAUCCCCCACUAUAUCCCGAGACAAAGACUUUCUUCUUCCUCCAGCCCGAGCAGUCCAGCACAUUGAUAGAGAGCUGAGCUUCACCUACUCUCCGGUGGUGCCCAAGCAAGGGAGGUGCUGCCCGAAGUUUUUUCCCUCAUUUUUGUGGGAAUUUGACUCAGCCAACAAGUGCUGCGAAGGUUUGCUACUUCAUCCUCGUGUUAUGCUUUGAUUUAUGCUUUGGAGAUGGAAAGAUUAUUUGCUACAAUGUGAUGAUGAAGUAGAAAAAUGGAGAGGUAUUUUGAGCUAGAAUGUGAGGGAGAUUGAUGUGUCAUAUAUAGUAUGCAUUAUUUCAGUGGUUUAAAAAUGAUGCUACCUUGUCUAGACGGUUUAUCUUAUCAAAUUCAAUAUGGUUUUUUAAAUCCAUAUACUUGUUAAACUUGCAUACCGUGUUCAUUUCGGCGAGAAUGUUCUCCGCCGAGCAGCAACGUAUGUCAAGAAGGAGGUUCGAUUCUACGAGAAAGAGUGGAUACGGACAUCGUGACCAUGUCCCCUUUUCCGUAGCAUCUAACCUCUUUCAUGACGAAGUGCGGUGCCGCCCAGCUGAGGACAUCCUCGCGAGAUGAUCACGGUCUUCAAGUUCAACAACUUCUGUAGUGGUAAUGAAAGAAUUUUUGUACAUAGAUAACUUCUGCUACUUGUUGAACUUGCAUACCGUGUUCAUCUCGCCGAGGAUGUUCUCCGCCGAGCAGCAACGUAUGUCAAGAAGGAGGUUCGAUUCUACGAGAAAGAGUGGAUACGGACAUCGUGACCGUGUCCCCUUUUCCGUAGCAUCUAACCUCUUUAAUGACGAAGUGCGGUGCCGCCCAGUUGAGGACAUCCUCGCGAGAUGAUCACGGUCUUCAAGUUGAACAACUUAUGCAGUGUUUGGGACUUUAAUUUAAAUAUGUGUAUUUGGAUCUUCAUGUUGUUGUAUUGUACCAUGUUGUUUGGAUCUUUAAUCGAUUUUCACGCGUAAUCCAUUGUCAAGUAUAAUCCAUUUUCGUGCGUAAUACGAUGCAGAUGGACCGGCAUUGGAUGUAUAAUGCAGACAGGCGGAGCAAGGUGUUUAUUGAUGGCUUGCAUUAUUUUCUCGAAGUGGCAAAAGCGAACAAGCCAGAGAAUGGGUUCGUAUGUUGUCCAUGCUUCCAAUGCAAUAACAGGAAGGAGUAUUCAAAGGAUUCCUGGGGGACUAUUCACAGCCACUUGUUUAAAUACGGUUUCAUGCCUAACUAUUUGGUUUGGACCAAGCACGGUGAACUAGGGGUUGUAAUGGAAGAUGGCGAGGAGGAGGAGGAAGAUGACACCAUUCCGGACUGGGUUGCAGGCCAAGCUUUUGCAGGUACUACAAUGGGCGAGGCUGAUGAAGAUGAGUUUGCAGAAAAUGACCCUACUGAUGACCUUGGUCAGGUGAUACGAGAUGCAUACAGAGAUUGCGAAACUGAGAAGGAAGCAGCAAAGUUGCAGCGCAUGAUAGAUGAUCACCAAAAAUUGUUGUACCCAGGUUGCCAGCAGGGCCAUAAAAAACUAGGUACGACACUAGAAUUUGUGCAAUGGAAGGCAAAAAAUGGUGUGUCCGAUAAGGCAUUUCAGGGGAUGUUGAGAAUUGUCAAGAAGAUUCUCCCCGAGAAUAAUGAAUUACCGUCCACAACAUAUGAAGCUAAACAGAUUAUUUGCCCUCUCGGAUUGGAUGUUCAGAAGAUACACGCAUGCCCUAAUGACUGUAUCCUCUAUCGUGGUGAUGAAUACGAGGAAUUGGAUGCUUGUCCCGUCUGCGAAGCCCUGCGGUAUAAGAUCAGGCGAGAUGAUCCUGGUGAUGUCGAGGGGCAGUCUCCCAAGAAGAGAGUUCCCGCGAAGGUGAUGUGGUAUUUCCCUAUAAUACCACGCUUGAAGCGCUUGUUCAGGAACAAGGCGAAUGCUAAGUUGAUGCGAUGGCACAAAGAAGAUCGUAAGGAAGAUGAGAUGCUGAGACACCCCGCAGAUGGGGCACAGUGGAGAUCAAUUGAUAGAACAUUCCCAGACUUUGAAAGUGAAGCAAGGAACAUAAGGUUUGGUUUAAGCACUGAUGGAUUCAAUCCAUUCGGUGAGUUGAGUAGUGGUCAUAGUACUUGGCCUGUGACCCUUUGUAUGUUCAACCUUCCUCCUUGGCUGUGCAUGAAGCGGAAGUUCAUUAUGAUGCCGGCGCUUAUCCAAGGCCCAAAACAACCCGGCAACGACAUUGACGUGUACCUAAGGCCGUUGGUUGAUGACCUUUUACAGCUCUGGAAGGAAGAAGGUGUACGUGUGUGGGAUGAGGAUAGACAAGAGAUCUUUAAUCUACGAGCACUGUUGUUCGUAACCAUCAACGAUUGGCCUGCAUUGAGUAACCUUUCAGGACAGACAAAUAAGGGAUAUCGGGCAUGCACCCACUGUUUAGAUGACACAGAUAGCAUGUACUUGAAGCACUGUAAGAAGGUCGUCUAUAUGGGUCAUCGUCGAUUUCUCCCUGCUCACCACCAGCUGAGAAAGAGCGGGAUGCAUUUCAAAGGGACGCCAGACCAUCGUAAAAAACCUGCACACCGUAAUGGAAAGCGUGUGUUCGAGAUGAUGAAGGAUGUACAUGUAGUCUUUGGAAAGGGACUUGGUAGCCAACCUGUUCCGAACGAUGAUAACGGACAUGCACCCAUGUGGAAGAAAAAGUCAAUAUUUUGGGAGCUACCUUAUUGGGAAAUCCUAGAGGUUCGCAACGCAAUAGACGUGAUGCACCUGACGAAGAAUCUUUGCGUGAACGUGCUAGGCUUCAUUGGUAUUCUCGGACCUGUAUACCUGCACAAUAUGUGGCCUUUCGAGAGGUUCAUGGCAGUCCUAAAAAACUAUGUUCGUAAUCGUGCUCGUCCAGAAGGAAGCAUCGCCAGGGGAUAUGGAACAGAGGAGGUGAUCGAGUUUUGUGUUGAUUUUAUUGAUUCAAUUGACUCGAUUGGGGUUCCAACUUCACGCCAUGAGGGGAGGCUCCGAGGAAUGGGCACCCUUGGAAGGAAAUCAAGUUUGAGCAAUGAUACUAAUUUGUUCGACAAGGCACACUACACUGUUCUACAACAGUCAUCCUUUGUGUCUCCGUAUAUCGAGCAGCACAGGCAGAUGGUAGCUUCCAAAAACCCGACCAAAUCCGAUGCUUGGCUUACCCGUCAUCACAUGGAAACUUUUCCCUCCUGGUUGCGCCAACAACUUAUGGGUAACUCUGAGAUUCACCCACAGCUUGCCUGGUUAGCCAGGGGACCUGCUACCACAAUCGUCAAAUUCCAAGGCUAUGAGAUAAAUGGUUACACAUUUUACACGAGAGCCCAGGACCAGAAAAGCACGAACCAGAAUAGUGGUGUCCGCAUAGAUGCCAUGGACAGAAAUAAUAGCAAGGAGUCGUAUUAUGGUUUCAUACAGGAGAUAUGGGAACUCGAAUACGGACCGCUGUACAUCCCUCUAUUUCUUUGCAAUUGGGUGAAGCUAACUGCCAUCACCAAAGAUCAGUACGGAAUGACAAUAGUAGAUCUGAGCAAGACUGGAUACAGUGAUGACCCAUUCGUACUUGCCAAUGAUGUGCAUCAGGUGUUCUAUGUGAAGGACAUGUGCAGCAAACCCAAGAGGAAUCCAGAAGAGACAUGGGAGCCAAAAUGCCACAUAGUUCUUCCAGGUAAAAGAAAAAUCGUGGGAGUCGAGGAUAAAACAGACCAAUCAGAUGAUUAUGAUCAGUUUGAUGGCAUGCCUCCAUUCGACGUUGAAGUUGAUCCAAGCAUCCUGCUGUCCAAAGAAGAGGCUCCGUACUUACGCCGCGAUCAUGAUCAAGGAACUUUCGUGAAGAAGAAAUUUUACAACAUUGUAUCGUAAUGCGUUAAAUGUGCAUGACCUUUGUGUAUUAAUUGAUACAAUUUGUAAUUUACCCUAUGUAUGAUUUCAUGUGUUAUUAAAUUUGUUAGGUGAAGACUUUUUAGAUAUACAUGAACAUUGUUAACCACAUACUAACAUGGAUUUUUCUGUGCAUUCAAAUAAUUUAAUUGAAUAAUUUAUUGAUCACAGCAAUGCAGUAAAAUAAAUAUUUUACAGGCUACAUGAGUUGGUAUAGAAAUAAUGAUUACUUCAUACUUAUUGUCAAUUUACUCGUUAAUUAAAUAUAUUUUUGCAUGUACAAAAUCUGAGAAGGUUUUGUUUUUCAUCCUGGAAUGCAGUGAAAAGGUUAAAUAAAAUGCAUUUCCAAAAAACAGGCGGGAGAAGAAAAAUAGGAAAAAAGACCUUUUGUCCCGGGUGCUAACAGCAACCGGGACAAAAGGCCCCCCUUUUAUCCCGGUUGCAAACGGUACGUUUCGUCUCCCGCCCGAACGUACCCUUUUAUCCCGGUUGCCAUUUGCAACCGGGAUAAAAGGCCCCCCCCUUUUAUCCCGGUUGGUGACGGGACCCGGGAUAAAAGGGUGCGCUCCCAGCCCCACCUGGCGGGGGCACCCUUUUGUCCCAGGUCCCGUUACCAACCGGGAUAAAAGGGGGGGACCUUUUAUCCCGGUUGGUGACGGGACCCGGGACAAAAGGCCCUUUUGUCCCGGGUGCCAUUACGAACCGGGAUAAAAGGGGGGGGGGUUAAAAGCACUGUACUCCCUUCUACCCCCCGCCAGUUCCACACUUAGCGAAAUUUUCGCAAGUCCCGCGCUCUCCGCCCGUCACCGCCCGUCCGCCUCCCUCGCCGGCCGCCGCCGUCGUCGUCCGCCAUUGCGCCGUCGAAGUCCCGCAUUGCGCCGUCGUCGUCCCCCGGCCGGCCCUCCUCGAUCCCCUCCUCGUCCGUCGACGGGCCCAGCCCCUCGUCGCCCCUCGUCGCCGGCUCCAUCCUCGUCGCCCCUCGCCGGCCGCCGUCGUCGUCUUCGCCUCGGCCGCCGUCGUCCCGCCGUCGUCGUCUUCAUCCUCGUCGCCGCCCCGGCCGCCGCUGUCCCGCACGCCGCCCGGCCGCUGCCGUCCCGCCGUCACGCCGCCCCGGCCGCCGCCGUCAGGCCGCCCCGGCCGCCACCGUCCCGCCGCCCCGGCCGCCGCCGUCCCGCCGCCCCGGCCGCCGCCCCGCGCGCGAGAGGUCUGCCGCGCCGGCCGGUGCGCCGGGGAGAGCUGGGUUUUCUUUUAAUUUUUAAUAAAUUUUUUUUAGAUGGAAUUGUAAUUUUGUUAAGUUAGAUUUUUAGAUUUCUAAUUUUGUUAAGUUAGAUUUUUAGAUUUCUAGUUAGUUUGUUAAGUUAGAUUUGUAGUUAGGUUGUUAACUACCGUCCCGCCGUCGUGAUCGCCGCCGUCCCGCCGAGUAGCUACCGUGAUCGCCGCCGAGUAGCCGCCGAGUCGCCUUGUAGCCGUCGUGAUCGCCGCCGAGUAGCCGCCGUGAUCGCCGCUGUCCUGCCGCCCAUCACAACGUAGUAGCUUAGGCACCGCCCGUGGUUCCGGUGAACCGCCUCCGCCGCCCUGACCGCCGCCGUCCCGCCUCCGCCGCCCUGACCGCCGCCGUCCCGCCUCCGCCGCCCUUAUCGCCGCCGUAGAAAUUCGUAGAAAUUCGUAGAAAUUCGUCAAAAUUCGUAGAAAUUCGUCAAAAUUCGUAGAAAUUCGUAGAAAUUUGUAGAAAUUCAUAGAAAAUCGUAGAAAUUUGUAGAAAUUCAUAGAAAUUCGUAGAAAUUUGUAUAAAUUCGUAUAAAUUCAUAGAAAUUCAUAGAAAUUCAUAGAAAUUCAUAGAAAUUCAUAGAAAUUCAUAGAAAUUUGUAUAAAUUCAUAGAAAUUUGUAUAAAUUCAUAGAAAUUCAUAGAAAUUUGUAUAAAUUCGUAUAAAUUCAUAGAAAUUUGUAUAAAUUCGUAUAAAUUCAUAGAAAUUCAUAGAAAUUCAUAGAAAUUCAUAGAAAUUCAUAGAAAUUCAUAGAAAUUUGUAUAAAUUCAUAGAAAUUUGUAUAAAUUCAUAGAAAUUUGUAUAAAGAUUCCGGACUUUGUACGAUUCAUGUUAUUUUAUGAUUUCAUUAUAUACAUGUAUGAUUCCGAACUGUGAUUAUAUACAAAUUUGUAUUAAGACGAUUUCUAUGACUGUCAUGUAUGAUUCCAUGUAUGUUUGCAACAAUAGUUGAAAUGGCAGACGAUGAGACCGCAAGGUAUAUCAUGGAGCAGAUAAUCGCUGGUGAUGGUAGUGGCAACAACGUUCCACUAUCAUACACGGAUGAAGAGGGCACCCAGGCGGACAUGUUCCUCAACAUGUCUGCCGAUGUGAAUGAAGAGCAACAGCCGCAGCAACAACUUGCCGUGGCGAAAGGUUCCGGCGAGGUAUAUACAACCAUUCUUGUAUUGUUUCACGCCACCGCUACUAGUACGUACUAAUUAACGAAUCUUAAACUGUUAGCCCUCCGGAUCGACACAAGGGCAGAAGACCCGAGGUCGUACAAAGGUGAUGGAAGGGAGGCUUGUCAUCACCGAAGUUACAGAUGAGGGCAGGCCGGUUGCUCCCGAGAAAGUCGCAAAGAAGUACGUUAGUCAAAUCGGGGCAAUCGUCCGGGACAACGUGCCUAUCAGCAUCAGAGAAUGGAAGGGCAGAAGCGAUAAUCCGUACGCCCUUCCAGAGACAGAAAAGAAUAUGCUGUGGGAAGACGUGAAGAGGCAUUUCACAUUCCCCGAAGAUUAUAGCGAGAAGGAUGUCAAAGCGUGGACACUUAAGAAGAUGGCUACUCAAUUCCAGACAUUCAAGAAGAUGCUGGACACCCACUACAUCAAGAAGGGCAAAACUCCAGACUUCAACGCGUGGCCCAAGUUGAGGGACCACUGGGAUGCAUUUGUUGAAUACAAGAGGAGUGAAGAAGGUGUGAAAAAGAUCACGACCAACGUUGCAAAUGCUAGUCAGAAGGGCUACCACCAUCAUUUGGGGUGAGGUGGGUAUGGCUCAGCAAUUCCCAAGUGGAGAAAGAUGGAACAAGAUCUGAUCGAACAGGGAAUCAUACCUGCAACUAUUGAAUGGCCCGAACGAUCAAAGAACUGGUACUACGCUCAUGGAGGCUCCCUAAGCCAAGAGGAUGGGACGCUGAUUUUCAAUGACAGAAUACGUGAGAAGGCCGAACAUCUCAUGAAGAACAUUGAAGAUUCCAAGGCUGGGAGGUUGAGGGUGGACCGAGAAAAUGAUGAGCUCACAUUGGCCCUCGGUAAUCCAGAGCACCCAGGACGUUGCCGGGGGUUCGGGGUGGUUCCGUGGAAGUUCGCUUUCCGAGGCGACAGCGCCUCUUACAGAAGUCGGAAGCGAAGAAAGGAACAGAUGGAGGAGAGCUGGCGGCAGAUGCUAGAACAACGAAUGAUGGAUGAAAUCAAUCGGCGGGUGGCCGACGCAGUUGCGGAGUUGGCGCAAUCUGGAGCACUGCCGAAUCCUCACACCGCCAGCCCUUCUCAACGCCUCGGGAGCAGUUGUGCUUCUACAGGGGUCCCCGAUGCGCAGACGCCCAGGUUACCCGUGGAGGAGCAACGGUUCCCCGUGGAUGCCAUCACGCAACGGACCUCAUGUGAGCUGCAUGCACCGGUCGGCAACCUCACUAUUAAGGUAUACUUAUACAUAAUAUUUAUGCAAUCUUGUCAAUUGAUCCAGGCCUCGAGAUCGGAGUUCAACUUGUUUACUUCUGCUAUAUGUACAGGUAGCGUACGGGAGUGCGUUACCAACGCUGGCAGGGCAGAGCAGUCAUGGCAUGGACAUUCCAACAGGCUACGCCAGCGUCUGCGUCGAGCAAAUAGUAGAUGCCCAGUAUGAAGGUCUAGAGCUCGACUUCCCGGGAGGCGACGGGGAAAAGACAUUGGCAGAUGCGCUUCAUGGGAUCAUUCUAUGGAAGAAACGCUACAUCAUUAUUUUCCGCACGGAGCCAUCUCCUCAGACCUCAAGACCGCUCCCCGUAGAUCCCGAGCAGCGAUCUUCUCCUCAUACCUCGAGACCGGCAUCUCCUGCUCCAGGACCGUCGCUUCCAUCUAUAUCAAGGUCUCCAUCUCCACCACAUCCUGGUGCUGGGAGCGACGACGACAAUAACAACACCCCUCCCCGAUCACCGUCGCCGGCACCAAGAGCGGCCCCCUCGAAGGAACCUGCAGCACCACUCAAGAAGUCACGAGCACCGCCACCCAAGCAAAGACAGCCUCGAAAGAAGAAAACAAAGGUCGACCCUGAAGUGGCUCGCAAGGAACGCUUUGAGGCAAUGUCUCAUGCGGAACAGUGGGCAGAAAUCCAACGAGAGGCCAGUGAGUGGUUCAAGAAACAAGCCGAAUUAAAAAAGGCAAGGGAGAUGGAGCCACCGCCAGUAAGUCGGCGGGAUUUAAACUUUUUUAUCAGGAUGGAGGAAGGAGCCAAGAAAAGGAUACCACUCUUGUCAAACUAUGAACGGGCUCUAGUAAAGGCUGAUGAAAAGGAUAAAAGAAAAGGAAAAUCAUCCUCCAAAGGUUCAGUCCCCGACCUCAGCCAUUUAUCAAAGAAAGAUGCUCAACGGGUAAAAGCAAUGCCCUUGGAUCAACAAGAAAAUAUAUUGAAGUUCAUGGAAGAAACAGGUCUGAGACUUGAUGAAUGCAUAGGGCAAGUCGAGACGCCAACUGCACCGCCCCCUGAGCCGAGAUGGCCUUAUGAGCUAGGCAAGCCUCUAGUGAAGCCGGCAAUGGUACGGAAGCUGUCAACAAAGAUGUACGAAUUCCAUCAAUGGUACAUGACGGCAUCCGCCAAAUCGAGGGAGAUGAUCGGCAUGAAGGUAAAACCGAUAGAUUUUCACGGUGAAGGGGAGAAAGUGCUGUGGCUAGACUUCAAGGAUAUAUACGAAGUGUACCAUCAUGAUGCCCUGGACGUCUCUCUGAUCAGCGCUUGGAUUCUGUAAGUGUCCGUUUAUUAUCUCUACAUGUAAAUUUUGGCGUGCGUCACCGUACUAACUUCAUCUUCCAUUUCAUGUAGGAUGCUAAUUCAGACAUGCCGCCGAGAGGCGUACCUACAUGUAGGCUUCAUGGAUCCAUCUGUAGUUAACCAACAACAGAUACAAUUAGCGCCGGAAAAAACCUUUGCCGAAAUAUACAAUUUCCUACACAAACAAACAUUCAAGGAUUUCAUACUACUUCCAUACAACUUCAAGUAAGUGUGUGUAUACCGUCUACUUUCGAUGUCUUUUUCCUUAUCUCUACAUGUUAGUUAGCUCUAAUAUGCAUGAACAUUUUACGCACGCAGCUUCCACUGGAUCCUUAUUAUAAUUGAGCCUGAAAGAAGCCACGUCACUGUCUUUGAUUCGUUACGGAAAGAUCCGGUGGACUACCAAGAAUUGCAAGACAUGCUAGGCUUGUAAUAAUUCUGGACCUUUAUCUCUAUGCAAAAAUUUAUUUCCUAAAUUUUAUCCCUGUUACACUAUGUCAUUCAUUAUUCUAAUCCGCAGCGUAUGGAAACAAUUCAUAAGGACACACCAAGGUCCAUUCAAAGAAGAUCUUACAUGGAACACAGACUUCCCGGUACGUAUGAAGUCUGCACAUUUAUUACAUUGUAUAACACGAAUAUUUCAUAACUUAUUUUUUUCCGCACUGAAGUGCUUAAGACAGGAACCCGGGAAUAACCUAUGUGGCUACUACAUCUGUGAGCACAUGCACAGUUUUUUGGGACCCAAGGGACCGAAGAUGACGCCGCACAACUUUAAAGUACGUAAAAUAAAUAUAUUACUAGUUAAUUAUUUUCUAGCUCCUUAUAUGUAUUUGUUCAUGUAACAUUCACAAAUUUCCAAAUUAUAGAUGUUAAAUAUUCAACAAGGACUCUUGAAGGAAGAAAGAGUAGCGGCAAUAUGUGAAGGUCUCAUUGGAUUCAUAAUGGACGAGGUGGUAAAUCCAACAGGAGAAUUUUAUUACGAUGGACGACAAUUAGACACUCCUCUCAGCAACACCACGACGGGAAGAUCGUAGGAAGAUACUUUGAUUUAUUUGUAUAUAUGAUCGAUUUGUACUAAUUAAGCUAGUUGAAUUGUGUAUAUGAAUUGUGUAUAAGGAUUGUGUAUAUAUAUAGUAGUUGUAUAAUUACAAAUCCCAUUCGUUUAAAUACUAGUUGAUUUAAUUCAUUCUAAAAAAUCUCAACUACAAGGUUAACAAAUUAAAAGGGCCGCGGUACUACUAUACGUAUACGUGAUGCAUGCAUGAAAAAUUCAGGCGUCACCAGUGCCAUGCAAGCGCAAUUUAGUCCCGGUUGGAAUUGAGCCGGGACUAAAGGGGACCCCUUUAGUCCCGGUUGGUAAAUCCAACCGGGACUAAAGGGACCCCCUUUAGUCCCGGUUGGUGUCACCAACCGGGACUAAAGGGCCUGUCCCGCGCCUGGCGUGGCAGGCCCUUUAGUCCCGGUUGGUGACACCAACCGGGACUAAAGGGGGUCCUUUACUCCCGGUUAAAAUACCCGGGACUAAAGACCCCCCCCUUUUGUCCCGGUUGGUUUAUCCCGGAUGGAUAUCCGAGAGAUAUGACCCUUACCAACCGGGACUAAUGCUCAGUUUUCUACCAGUGGAGGGCUACUCCCACAUGCUGUGACAUCAAAUUGCAACCUCCAUAUAAGAACCUCUUGGAACUUGUUCUGUCCGGUUCUUUUAGUUUGAAUUGUAACCUCUUUAUUCUGGAAAUAACCGGGUCAUCUAGCAGUUCCAUUGAUUUGUUUUGCAGCUCUUCAAGAUGCCAAAAUGUACGGUCAGAUUCUUUCCUAGGGCUUAUCUACUAUAUUAAUUGUUGCCUUAUUCAUCGCUUUGUAGAUUUAUCCUCAAAAUAACCCUAAAUGAAUGACUUAGUUUCUUGAGCUAUUGAUCUAAUUGUCCACGACCGAUGUGUUAUUAAUUUUCAUUUCAUUUGGGUCCUAUUUUCAUUCAAUACCUUGUGCAUACAAAAUCUUGCUCUUAUUGCAAGAAUGAAGGUCACGUGGCAAAUGACUGCCUUGGAACAAAAGUGAGACAAAUUUGAUCAUUGGAUGUGAUCGAAUAGGGCAAGGCUAUCUAAUGAAGGCUAAGAUCAGUCCUAGUUUAGUUUAUUAAACUUUCCAGUUCAUUUUCAUGACUGCUUGGAUGUCCUUUUCCCUGUUGAGUAAUUGCAAAAGAUGGAAGGCAAUACAAAUACAAUCUUUGGCAGUAUGGAGGUGAGGUCAACUACAAUCUAUACUGACCAUUUGCUGCGGAGGAGGAAGAAGAAGAUGCAUAAACGGAAGCCCACAGAACCUAACUGAGCAAGCUGCCGAGUUGUCAAGUUGCAAAGGGGCACCAUCUUAUGCCUUGCAUGCCACCUUCAAGGCAUAGAAACUCCUGUCGAAAAGGCGGAUGAAGCGGUAACAUUUUAAAAUGCCACAAAAAAAAUUCUCCUUAAUUUCUUUUUUCGGGAGGCUUCGAGUGUCUUGUGAGAAUAUUUUUAUUGGUGUCAAUUUAUGUUCAGAUGAAGCUGCACUGUUCCAAUAAGCACAACACCUUUAGGAUACCCUGGGAGAAAAUGUUUUUCUUGUUUAUCUAGGAUGUAGAGAGACAUCAGCUUGCAUCAGUACAUAUUCCAUAGAAUUUGAUGUUAUGGUAAAUAAAUAAUUUUUCCCCAAUGGUAGUGUUGAUGCGAAAACGCACCGCGCCCAAUACUUGAGCACUGAAGAACGUGCAGUCCGCAAAGACACUUCUUGUUGUGUCGAUGUGGAAGCUGGUCAGACCGGUAUGGCAGGCCGGUUUGGAUCGGUCUCGCCAGAGAGCUCGGCAAGGAUCCAACGAAUGCCCACUCGGGAGGGACCCCAUCGGGGCAGGAACACCUUGGUUGCCUAGCAGGACAGCUAGGGCACCACCACAUGCUAUGUAGACAGGAGAUUGAUUUUUGAUCGAUUGGAUACCCUCAAUCGACCAUAGCCCUUUAUAUUUAUGGAAAGGGGAUGUCUUACCCAUUAAGAUUUGAAACUCUUACAAAUCCUUGUCAAAAUACAUCUCCUAAUCAACUGGUUCAACCGCCCUAUGAAACUAGUCUGACCGGUUUUCCAAGAUCUUCCCAAAGUCAUAAUCCUUCAUCUGAACUCCAAAUUAGACGUUCUAUAUAUCAUUUUGAUGGUCUUGAUGAGAGAUACGUAAUGGUGAAGUCUAAUUUGCAAUUUGAGCAAUUUAUGUAAACCGAUCUGAUAGGUUUAGAGACUGGUUCGCUCAGAUCAAUUUUGGUCGUCAACAGGUAGCAAAAAUGAACGUAAUAUUGGCAUUUCAUUCAUACAUGUUCUUGCUGUUCAUUGGUGACUUUAAAGGGCAGCCUUUAUCUUUAGUCCUUUUUUCUGCACAUUGUGUACCUUAUGCAAUUAGUGUACAGUUGUAACAUGCAUUUGACUCCUGAGCACAUAAUUGGCAUUAGAGCCUGCUAUAUAUCAUGUCUGUUGUUUUACUAGAAAGAAAACCUAGAAACUUUUGGUUUAACUCAUAUUUACACAACAUACUGCAAUAGUUGGAUUGUAGUGUUAGAUGACUUUAUUUGUGAAAUAAAACUGCAGUAUGCGCUUAAAAACCAAUAUGAAAUUGGAUUUCCAAAUGAGAAUAGACAAAAACCUGCUUAUGGAAAUCAAAUUCCGAGCGAUUCAUUGAGUUGCAAGUGAAAUGCAUUUCCUCGUGGUUGCAUCUCAGUGUGUCCUGUUACAAACAAUAGGCAAUAUAAACGAUGAAGAACAGCAGAUGUAACAUAGGGGACACGAGAUUUUAACGUGAAAAACCUUCCAAGGAGGAAGAGAAAAACCACGGGCACCAGCCAGCAAAUCUUCACUAUAUUGGGCGAGGUUACAAAUGCCGGGAAUUUAUAAGUUUUGAACUUAUCUCAAACCGGCGUAUAAAGAGGUGGAAACCUAAUCGGUAACGAUCCGUACCCCCCGCGGUAUCACUAUAUCAGCCCAAGCCUACCGGCGACGGGCCUCGCUUCGCUCUGUCCGAAGUCAGCCUUUAUCUAUAUAUAACUGAAUUUGGAUCAUAACUCAACAUGUUCGGUAGUCCAUGUGCGCAAUGUGCAACUCAGUGUGUAUUCAGUCUAAAAAUCGGAUCUGGCUAGGCCGUGGCUGCACAAGGCGGCAUUGCGGUGCUGUGUACAAGUGUAAAAAGGUGCUUGGUGCGUGCUGGUGUCAUGCGGUAGGUGAUGAGCACGAAUGCGGGUGAAAUUCUAAGUCGUUUUGUUUUUCUAAAUACAUACAAAACAUAACCUACUACUAUUACUAUUAGGUGAUGAGGCGGGCUAGGGGAAGGCAACUAAUAAUAGGACGCGACAAUGCCGUCAUGAUAUCAGUAGAGAACUGACCUUCCAUCCUACGGGAGAAGUUUUAGUCCCGGUUGAAAAGAUCUGAUAGAGACAUCCCUCUUUUAUCCCAAAUGGAAAUUCCAACCGGAAUAAAAGACCCCCUUUUAUCCCUGUUGGUAAUUCCAACCGGGACUAAAUAUUUUGUCCCGGUUGGAAUUAACAACCGGGACUAAAGGAGGUCUUUUGUCCUGGUUGGUGGCUCCAACCGGAAGAAAACGUCCCCCCCACCCCCUCCCCCUCUCUCGACAUUAAAUCGACACAGGAUCGUCCUUAGCCGCACAGGCGCACAAGUACUCUCUCCUCCUCUCCUCCCUCUCUCGUUCUUCCUUAUCCUCUCUUCUUCGUUCCACGCAGGCGCAUAGGUGCAGAGGCGGGCGCGAGCGGGGCCAAGGCGGCGUGCGGAGCGGGCGAGGAGGCUGGGGAGCCGCCGGCGGGAGGAGGCCAGGGAGGUGUGGGCGGUGCAGGGUGGCCGGCGGGCGUGGGCCCGGUGGACUUGGGGUGAGGUGAAGGCGACUAGGAUAUGGCACGGAGCACCAUGGUGAUCAUGACGUGGAGAACUCUUGGGACAGAGAACGAUCUUGAUUGCCGUUAUUGGUCAUCAGGACCGAAACUAGUUCAGUGGUGUACAUACCGACGAAAUUUCAGAACAAACUAUAUAACUAGAACACUCAUUUCUGAGUCAGUGCAAACACUCUACUAAGAACUACCGCAAGAAGUUUGUUGGAACGGACAGACACUAGCUCCUCCUAUAGACAGGAGAGGACAACAGGUGGGAUACCGAAGAAUCUAUUGCAGGGUUAGUUCCAUAGACGACCCACCAUGGAUCAUCGGAUCAGAUCAUCAGGCGUGGCCGUGCUGGUCCAGGAGCAGGCGCCACCAGUCUGUAAGAAAGCCAAUCGAACGUAUAGGACCAUCAGAAAACCCACGAGGCAAUCUAGGCACAAGAAGAAGAAGAAAAAGAAGAAGAAGAAGAAGAAGUGGAGAUUAUUGGUACCGCGGUCGCCCUGCUCGUGCAGAUACAGGAAGUGCAGGCCUGCCUCUCGAAGUGUCUUUGACCUGACAACACAACCCUUGCGUUUGCACAGAUAACCGCCUUGGUGUUUUUUCUUGCAGUGGUCCUCGAGCUGUGAACCAAUGCAACCACCAAUAAUGUCAGAAACAAGAAUGCUUGCUGCUUUCUUAUUAGUUGAAGAACUAGGAAGAGAGGGAUUCCUACGUACUCCUGUUUCUCUGUCGAAGCACCUCACCAACCCUCGAUGGAGGAAGCAGAUUUCACAAAUUUCUUUGUCCUUCUUGCCGAGCAGCUCCUCUGCUCGGCUCUGGCAAAGCUUGGCGUAAGAAAGGGCGACGUCGUCGUCGUAGUCCUGGCGCUCCCGGAAGAGCUCGGCGAGGCCGUAUGCGGGAUCGCACUGCAACCAUUCGUCACAUCGUCAUUCAACAGAAAGCAGUCGAGAUUCGAGAGGACACGCAACUACGCAACGCAAGAAACAGAGGCGGUCGAAACCAAGAAAGCGGCGGCGGCGAGACGAGGAGGGGAGAAGGAAACACGCCGGCGAAAAAUCCAAGAAAGUACCGGAGAUGGAGAGCGACGCGGACCCCUUCCCUUCGCCUUCUUCGCCUCUUUCGCCUUCCCCUGCUUCCUGGGCGCGGCGGCGGGGUUGUUGGGCGCCACGUGCGCCCCGUGUUCGGCGUGUGCCGCGUCGGGGCCGGGCUCCUUAGCGCUGCCGGUGGCGUUGCCGUCGUCGUUGGGGACCUCCUCGCCGCCCGCCGCAGGGCCAUGCGCCACGUCGGAUGCGGCGUCGGGGCCGGGCUCCCCAGCGCUGCCGGUGGCGUUGCCGUCGUCGUUGGGGACCUCCUCGCCGCCCGCCGCAGGGCCAUGCGCCGCGCCGGGGCCCUCGUCGUCGCCGUCGUCAGCGCAGCCCGACGAAGCACGGCGAAGGAGCCGCCGCAGCCAUGCUGCAGUGACCCACCGCAGGAACCGCUCCCCGCCGGCCUCCACCAAGUCGGCGAUCCACUCCUGGAUCCUCGCCAAGGGGCCCUGAAGCGGAGGCGGAGGGGGAGGCGGAGACCGCUGCCGAGCCCGCGCACCGUGGCCCUGCUUGCGGCGGCCACGCGCCAUGGUGCCUUGGCGAGCGCGAGGGCGCGGGCGAGGAGAGCAGAGAGCUCCGGCGUGGGCUUCCUCGGGAAGAUUGGUGGUUAGGAAGGAAGGCAAGCACGUGGGAGGAAGAGGGUUCUAGCUUCGGGGGAGGCGGGUGGGGGAACUAUAUAUUUGAAGGAUUGAAUUGAUGAGUUAGGACCACAAUAAUGACUGGCUAGCCUCAAAUUUACAUCCUCCCAGGUGAGUUGGAUCUUCUAGCAUCAUACAAUAUUGCCAUGAAGAUAAGCAAGAUGUUGGCACGCUCUCUUAUAAUGGAGUUGAGGCAGAUUGAGGCUGAGGGGAAGUGUCUUGCUGCACUUGCAGAACAUCAUGACUAUGUCAAGUUCAAAAUUCCUAAACAUCUAUUCCAUACUAUCUUGCUAGGCCUAACUAAUAUACAAGUAAAUAUUGUUUUUGUAUUCGUCUGUUGAUUAAGCAUUGAUUAUUUUAUUUUACAUUUAUGAGAGAGGGUGUCUUAUGAAACUCCUGAUGAUGAAGAUGAUGACAUCGAAAGUUAUUUUUUCUGAACAUUUAAGUACUGUUAUCCUAGCUAGAUUUCCAUUUCUAUGCAUAGUUGACCCAACAAUGAUGAUUUUACUUUCAGGGUACUCUUUGAUGAUGAAGUUGGUGAUAACUACGGUUUAGUCGACCACUUGAUUUCGUAGUUGCACUAGAACCAAUGUCAUCUUUUGUGUAAACUAACCAAUUGUGCAUGCAAGACAAACCGUGAGCUUAGUUUGGUCGAUGCUGAUGAAGCACUUGUGAACUGUCAGGUUUUGUAAAAAGAGUUGUCGAUUGACCUAUAGGCUAUGAACGCUCAUUGCAGCAAUGCACAAAUUUAUGAGUCAAGUUUAGUUAAGCCAUCUUUUAUGCUCAUCCUUUUGUUGUGUGACGUUCUUGAACAAGUGGAUAUUUUAGUUUGAUGUGAAGGUUCUACAUGGUUCUACAUGGUGCUGAUUUUUACCCUUGAUUUUCUACAUGGUUCUACAUGGAUAUUUUUACAAUUUUGGUGUUUUCUAUCACUUUAUUUUUACCCUUAAUCUCUUCAACCUUUCUGGUGAGCACCACGAGAGAUGGGUGGGUACCAGGUUACGUUGGGUAAUGGCCAUGGAUUUAUUGAUGAGGUUACCGUGAGAGAUAGGUUUAAUGAUAAGGUUACUGGGCAGGCAGAUUAGCCUCACAGUCACAGUGAUGGGGAGGUUAGCACGAGCGCAGGAAGGUGAUAUAGCGGUUAAACACUUGUAGGGGAGAACUAGGAGCAAGGGCCUCUCUCCCUAUUGAAUGUACUUAGUCGAUACGGAGUAGGUUGUAUUAGUUUGAUACUGAUAAUUUGUUAUGAAAUAUAAAUUCCAUCCUUAACUUGCCUAAUAAAUACAAAAAAUUUCAGCAAUAACCAAACAAACCGAAAUAUCUAUCUAAACCUAGAUGUUGUUUUCCAUCCUUAACUUGCCUAAUAAAUACAAAAAAUUUCAGCAAUAACCAAACAAAGCGAAAUAUCUAUCUAAACCUAGAUGUUGUUUGGUUCUCUAAAACGUAACGUAAUUUUAUUACAAAGGGUAAGUCUUAUUGUUACAUCUAUUUGUUUGCAACAGUCGAUAAUCCGCUAACGCGUAAUUAGAUCCCGAACCAGUACGUGCCCAAUACCGCUCCUCAACCACCCUAAUAAAAAAAAUCUGAUUGUAGUACGUGCCGGGGAUGCAAUAGCGUUACAUUAGUAAACCAAACAAAGACAGAAUUAGAGUGCAAUCUGAUUACAUUUUCAUUUACGUUACCGCUCGCCGAACUAAACACAUCAGAGUGACGAAACUUUAACUCCAGGGGCAGGGGACUCCGCUGUAGCCGGCCCAACCCAAGCCUGCACUAUCACAAAGCCCACCUCCUUCUUCCCCCACGACUCGUCCCUGUCUCCUCCUCGCACCCGGCCCGUGGGCAUUCCACUUCCAGUGCUCUCCUCCCCGCGGCAGCAAGGGCAACUGCUCCGGCGUGACCGACCCUCCCAAUCCCUGCUGCCCACGCGCGCAGCCCUCUCCUCGCCGCCACGAUGCGGUUUGACCUGGAUGGCAUGCCGGUUCACUUCCCAUACGCGGUGAUCUACCCAGAGUAGCACGCGUACAUGGGGGAGCUCAAGCGCGCCAUCGAUGCACGCGGGCACGCGCUGCUCGAGGUGCCCACGGGCACCGGCAAGACGGCGACGCUGAUCUCCCUCAUCACCUCCUACUCCCUCGCCAACCGGUCCCGCCCGCUCCGCCUCAUCUACUGCACACGCACCAUGCACGAGAUGGAGAAGACCCUCGCCGAGCUCCGCCUCCUCUUUGCCCACCUGCCUCCCGCUGCCUCCCGCUCCCUCCUCGCGCUCGGUCUCUCCUCCCCCAAGAACCUCUGCGUCCACCCGCAGGCGUCCGCCGUCGCGGCCCGGGACUCCGCCGCCUCACGGCCUCCUGGGUCCGCGAGAAGGCCGCCUCCGAUCAGACACAUCCCUCAUGCCGCCAGGGGUGUACACCCUCGCUGACCUCCGCGACAAUUGAAGCCGGCGUGGAAUUGAUUUGAGGGAUUGUACAGAAGCAUGUCACAAGUCGGCCCAACUAAGGUUGAUAAUCAUGUUCCUCCUGGCCGUUGCCCGCUAAGCUGCGGUUUCCCCUGCCACCGCCUACUGUGCCGGCGGCGCAACGACGACUCACUGCACCGUCUUGCACACUCCGCUGAUGCCGUCGUGGCCCCGCCCUUCCCGAAAAAUCUCUCCGGCCAUCACGCCCUUCAUGCCGACACCACCCACCACCGGUCGCAGGCCACCCGCUUGAGUUGGGUUUAGGGAUGGAAAUGUGGAAAUGGAUAAUCCGUAUCCACUAAAACGACAAAUAUGGAUAUCCGUAUUCGUAUCCAAAUUUAACGUGGUACUAAAAUGAAUAUAUCCGAAUUCGUUUUUCUUAAUUUUCUCUAUCCGAUUCCACAUUCGAAUUCAAAAAUACCUGACAAUAUCCGUAUCCGACCAUAUGAAACAAUUAGUUAUAUCUAUAACUAAUGGUAAAUUUAUCAUUAAAACUAUUCAAGAUUUAUCUUUAUAACUAAUAGUUAAUUAUAUUAAUUUUAUUAUUACUAAUAUUGUACCCAUAAAACUAUUUAAAAUUUAUCUCUAAUUUUUGUGACCAAUGUCAUUAAAUUUAAUAAUAAAUAUAUGUGCAUAUUAAUUUUAUUUUUAAAUACUCUAGUUUAUUUAUCAAUAAAAAUAUUUUUAUACAAUUUUUAUUAUUCAUUGAUAAAUUUUUAUAUUUAUUGAAAUAUAUAUUUAUCCAUAUAUUAUUUUUUUCAUAGUUUGCACUAUUUCAAAUAUUUAUUAAUUAAUGUAAUAUUUUCAUAAGCGAUUUUUGUUUGCACUAGUUAGUUAGGUACUCAUACUUUAGUGUCUACUUGUAUAAAAGUUUUGUUAUUUAAAACCAUCAACAAAUAAAAUUGGCAAAUGUUAUCUUCAAAUCGAGUAAAUAUCCUUUGGGUAUCCGAAUUCGAGACAUUCAUUUUGUAUUCGUAUUUGAAAACAUCCGAAUUCGUAUUUAUAUUCGACUGAAAAUGUGGUAAAAAGUGCUAUCCGGAUCCGAUUCCAUGCGAUCCCUAGUUGGGUUACCGUCGCGAGUUUGACACCAAUGACUUUUCGGAUUCAAUGUAGAGUAACUUCUCUAAAAAAAAUAACUGGUGCAUGUAUAUGGUAACAUAUUAAUAAGUUCUCACGGAAAAUUGGAUGAUGUGAUUAAUUGGAUGAUAAGCAAGGUCCUUCUCCUUGGUAAUUGUGCCUUUAUGAAAUAUGUCUAUCAAAAGAGAAUGGUGGGAGUAGUUCAAAGAUCAUUUCCACAAGACACGUAGUUCAAAUGCGAAGGAAUUCCAAAACAUAGACACAAAUAUAUUUAAGUUCUAAGAAAGUGUAUAUUAUUGCAUACAUUGUAAAUAAUUUUAUUUCAUGAAUAAACAUACUAAAUAUUGAUUAUAUUAAAUAUUUAUGCAACAAUGACAAAGUUAUCUAUUUGUCACGUUAGAACAUUCUUGGGAGGAUGGAAUUGAAAUGAAUAUUGUGCUUUGGAAAGAACUCAAAUUUAGGGAGACUAUUACCUCAGUUUCUAAUGUUUUUCGGGGAAGUUAUUAGGAUGUAUUUCAAUUCCCAACUAAUUUUUGACUCUGAGGAACAUCUGACUUUUCUCUUCAAUUUUUCAUAUGUCUUAGAUGUGCAAAUCUUACAUAUAUGUUCUUUCAUAAUUUACAUAUCAUAUUUACAACACAUGUAGUUGAUAUGCAAAGUAAUUCCAGGAAAUAGGCAAAAACACAUACACUUCUCAUCUGAACUCCGAAUCGGGUGUUCUAUAUAUGCAUUUUGAUUGUCUCGAUGAGAGAUACGUAAUGGUGAAGUCCAAUUUGCAAUUUGAGCAGUUUAUCCAAAUCGGUCUGAUCGGUUUAGAGACCGGUUCGCUCAGAUCAAUUUUGGUCGUCAAAAGGUAGUAAAAAUAUCAAUUCCUUAUGGAACGAAAUAUUGGCAUUCCAUUUAUAUGCUGUUCAUUGGUGACUUUAAAUGGCAGCCUUUAUCUUUAGUCCUUUUUCUGCGCAUUAUGUACCUGAUGCAAUUAGUGUACAGUUGUAAGAUCCACUUGACUCAUGAGCACAUAAUUGGCAUUAGAGCCUGCUACAUAUCAUGUCUGUUGUUUUACUAGAAAGAAAACUUAGAAACUAUUGGUUUAACUCAUAUUUACACAACAUACCGCAAUAGUUGGAUUUAGUGUUAGAUGACUUUAUUUGUGAAAUAAAACUGCAGUAUGUGCUUAAAGCUGUUCAAAGUGGCUAUAUUCAUUCUCCCAGGUUGAAUCCUGCCCUUUUAUUUUUGUAGUAACUUGUUUGCUUGUGCGAAAAUGUUUGCCAUCUGUGGUAGCUUGAAAGGGGAGACAUCCUUUAUCUUUAGGACUCUUUCUGCCUGUUAUGUAGCCUAACCUGAUGCAUGCAAUGUGUAGGAUGAACACGCAUUUUUCUCAAGAGCAUAUUUUUGGCAUUAGACCCUAGUCUCAAGUACGAUGAUACUCUCUGGAAAGAAAACCUAGAACUCUUUAGUUUAACUGUUAUUUACACGACAUGCUAAUGUGGUGAAGUAUAUGGAUCUUAUAAUCUUCUCAUCCACUGGGACAUUGGAGUCCUUUGGUACAACACAUGUACAAGAGACAUUGUAGUUUGAGGAAGUUUGAGUUUAUCUACAGUAUAGUAACUGACAGUGUUUAGCGAAGGUCCAUGUCAAACACUCUCUCUCUCUACACUGGUUUUGAGUUUGAACAUGAGUAGAUGAUUUUGUCACCUAUCUUACUAUGUGUUGUUGCAAUGAGGAAAAUAGUGGGGACUAUAGUAUCCGUUGGGCUGUAUUGCUCUUGGUUUAUGUGCAAAUUUGCUGCUUUCUUCAGACAAGCAAGAAAUUUGGUAUUUGUUGUUGGCACUACUCAAGGAAAGCUAAAAUUGAUGAGGGAGUUUGGUGGUUUCCUCCAACGGAAAGCUAAAAUUGAUGAAUUUGUUUGGUUUUCUCCAAAGUCCCAUUGUUUAAUUUGUCAGGCGAGCUCUCUAUCUGCACUGAUAUGUAUAGCCAGAUUGAGUGUAAUUUUUGCCUUUCAACCAUUAGCUAGAACAUAUGCCAUCAUACCUGGAGGAUGUGACAGCCUGAGUAAUUAAGAACCUAAAUCAAAUAAUCAACAGGGUGAUUAAGAAGCAAAUCAAAGCUAACUCGGAAUUUUUGAGAGUAAGGUCUAAAAAUACGACAUAUUUUGAACCAAGUGUUAAAACUCCCUCCUGUUGAGAAUGACUUGUGAAGCAAAUAAAAACAAAUUUUAUAUAGUAACUUAAAUCUUGACCAAUAUACUAGUGGUAGAACUUCUCAAGUUGAACACCUUCCACUCACAUCACUUCUUCUGAUUUUGAGUAGAGGAUGUUCCAAAAUCGAGUAGACGAUCGGUCAAAUUUCAAAUCCAAUUCCAAAAUAGCUUUGACCGACGCUCCACCAAAGGUCCUACCAUCCUAUCUCCAACUUCAUCGAGCUUUUCCUUGUUGAUCUUUAUAAAAGUCAUAGCAGAUAUCCUGUUCCCGAACCUUCACUUUUGGAAAUCAAACCGCGUAGUUCAAACUUGGUGUGAAAACACAUGUUAUACACGACACCUUCGUCACGACACACAUCACGAGCACCAGCAUGCAUAAUUAAGCAUCAUGAACAUCGUUUUGUGCAUAGUUGACCGUUAUGAGCAUCAGUUGUGCAUAAAUGAAUGUUUCGGCCAUGCAUUGUUAAGUGCCCAGAAUUUUGGUAUUUAUUGGUGAAAAAUCAAAUUUGUGAAGGAACCCCAAUUUCUUCCAUACCACUGUACCCCCAAAUAUUUCAUUCAAAUACUAGACACCAUUUAGUGAUUUUACAAUAUUUUUACCAAAUUUUUCAGUGAUGUUUUCUGGGGUUAAAAAUGCAUUUAAUGUUCAAUUUUAGCUUUUUUGUUUUGACGAUUGUGUGCAAACAUAAAAGCUUUUGAGUUUAUUUCCAACGAGUAUUUUUGGGUAAUUUUUUAACACCUGUAGCUAUGUUAAAUAAGGGAGCAAAGUUGGCACGUUUUAUUUCUUCGCGGACCCACGCGUCAGCACUUCUCCUUCCUCACGUCACCAGUUGCAAAGCAGUUGGCCUGCAGGGGCCGAGCUCCACCUGGCCGGUGCCCAUGGUGGCUUCCCUUCUCGCCAAUCCUUGCGCCCCAUGGUGAGUCACUCCGUCCGUUCUUAUCCUCACCAUCCUCCUCCUAUAUAUAAAGCCCCCAACUCUCCCUCCUCCAAUCUCCAUUAACAGAACACCGAGCUCCACUUUUCCCCAAACUUUGCUGGCGAAAUCCGCCGCGGUUAGUGCAUCUCCGGCCGAUUCCUUGCAGCCACGGCGCCUCCUCGACGUCUCGAUUCCGUUUUGCUACUUCCCGGGCUCCCUCCCUCACCGGACGACGCCCUCCACGGGAGCUCCUCCGCCGCCUCCUUCGUGCGUCGUUCCUCCCUGUGCGCCGCCCUCCUCCAAGUGCCUGACUCCCUGCUGGUGUGCUCCCUGGCCCAAGGUGCCGCCCCUCUCCCUUCCCAAGCUGCCCCCUCUCUUUCUCCCACCUUCAGCCCAAGGCCAUGGCCAGUCCGGUCGUUUUCUGUACGGUGCGUGCUUGUUUAUGUGCGUGGGGAAGAUUUGAGAAGAAGAAGGAAGUGUAGGGGGUUAUGGGGAAGUUUCAGGGACUUUUGCGCAAUUAACUCAUUGACAUGGGGGCUAGAUUGAAAGUUUGUCUCGGUUUUUUUUUCCUAGAUCUAAAAUGGCUGCAACUUUGGAAAUUCAUAGUAAAUUGUAGAAAAAUCAUAAAAUAGCAAAUGAAGAUGUUUUGGAAUCCUUGUGAGAAGAGUUAUGCAAUAGAGUCAUAAUAUGAUAUGUGUUAGUAGAAAGUUUCUGAUGUGAUAAGGGGUACGUAUGAAGCUAAGUUAUGAUAAGUAGUGGUUAAGCUUUGAAGUUAACUCAUAUGUAUGCUCUCAUGUUAAUAUAACAGCUACUUAUAUAAGUUUUUCACCUUUACUUUGAUUCUUGCUUAAGGUAUUUAGGGUGUUCCAUGUUACCUAAGGCUAAUGCUAAUUAACUAUGUCCAUAGUAGUUGUGAGCUAUGUGUUUAACUUAUGCAUAUGUUACCAUGUUAAAGAACUAAAUGAAGAACCUUGUUGCAUAUGUGCUGAAAUGGCUGCUAGAGUAGUUUCUAUUGUGGUAAUAUUUUCGAGAUGAUAAUGAUAUUUUCUGUAAAUAUGGUGAAUACAAAAGAUGUAGGUAACUUCAUAAUAUAGCUUGUGUUAAAUUUUCAUCACCAUAAGCCUGAUGGUUUAGGAGCUAUAGAUUUUACAAGUUCAUUGUCAGGUUUUGCAUGCUCUAUGUAUAGGUCUGAAUGAUUGUGUUUUUUGACUUAGCUAAGCUUUGUAUCAUAUCUUGGAGAUAAUAUAAGAAGUGUAGGGUUUUUCAUGAGCUUUCCAAACUGUUAAAGAUCACCCCUUUUGGUGGUCUAAAUCUCCAGUUAUGAGCUUGUGAAAUGGAAUAACAGAAUCUGUCCUAAAGUGGACCGAGAUGUCUUCUUUGUAAUGUUUGACCUGGUUAACUUUAGUUUUAGCUUGUGGUGUUUAUAAAAAAGUUGUGAAUGGUUUGUUAAGCCUUCUAAAGAGUCUAGAACGACCUUGUUGUGAAAGCUAGAACUCAACUUAUGGGUGUCUAAAGUUUAAUGUCAGCAUCUGUCCAAGUUUGGACAGAUUUGCUUCUUUGUGUUUUCUAGUCUUGUUAACUGUUGAAUCAUCUUGAUACAACAAUAAUAAAGUUCUAUAUAAUUUAAUAAGGUUUCUACCAAGUUAAUAAUCAUGGUUGUUGGAGGUCUAGAACUCCAGAUAUGCAUCUGUGAAGUUCGUGUCAGUUUUCUAUCCUUAUUUGUACAGAUCUGCUCUUUGGUGUGUUUUCACCUUGUUAUUUGUCGAAUCAGCUUUUGGUGUGAGUAACAAAGUUUUAGAUAAUUUUCUUAACUUUAAAGAAAGUCUAGGAUCACCCUUUUUUGAUGCUUAUAUCUCUAUUUAUGGUUAAUACAAGUGACUAUUGUGCUGCUGUCAAGAUUAGGUGUAUGUGCUUAAUGUUAUUAGCUUUAACUUGAUGUUGCCUUGUGUGCUGGCUAGUUAGCUCAUAUCAUUAUUAGAGUUAAAUUGAUCUACCUAAGAAUCUUAUAAAUAUGUUAUAUAAUGUUGGUCAAGCACUUAGCUACUAAAUGGUCAUGUAUGCAUGUGGCUACAAAAUAACCUUGCUGCAUAGCUCGCUAGAACCUUAGUGAUGUUGGUGCAUGACUUGCUUGUGUAUGAAUUGUUUAAAAAUAAAUGUAAUAUAAUUUAUACCUGGAGGAACUUUGGGGUUACUUAUAAUACAUAUAUUAAGAAGCCACAUGUAUGCCAUACAAUAUGCGUUUUCCCAGUGUGAGAGAUGAGAGGACCACAUAGAAAGGGUACUAAUAUAUAUAGUUAGUUCUUUUACAAAAUCUGCAUGGAACGGGCAUGCAGAAUUGACCAAAGCACAUGCAGGUUUAAGUCUGGAUGAUGGGCACUUCCAGGGUUGGAUCCAGCAGGGGCUUGGAUCGAGGAAAGUGACAAGAGCACUCAAGCUCUAAUAACCAAUUGGUGGGACGGAAACAUGGAAGCCUGGUGGCAUGUGGUGUAAUGAACCGGCCUUGGAAAUGAAUUAGCAGGGGUGGAUCCUGUUGUUGCCUUUUUAAAAUAUUACUUUCGAUUUGGGGGGCAUGGUUUCUAUAAUGUAGUUUUUUUAUUUCUUUUCUUAUUAUUUGCUGAUAGCUGAUCUACAAGCAGGUUGUUGGGCAUCGAGGCAUGACAACCAGUAAUAUAUGAACGAGGCUAAUUAGUUAUUACAAAUAGUUAAUUAAAAUUAAGGAUACAUUAGUUAUUGUGAAUAAAAAAUUAUUUCUCUUGUUUACUAGUGCCCCGUUAUCACUGCCAACCCAAGCAGCUGAUUCUAAAAACUGACACAGAAGAAACCAUAUCAAAAUCAUGGAAAAUGGAUCAUUGACUGUCUCGGACCAAUAUCUAGCACCCGGCAAUGGAGAGGAAUGGAUCGGAGUCCUUCGCAUAGCUUCCUGCCACUGAGUACAAGACCACAGGGUGAUAAGGCUGUGUUAAAUGAAUGGUAUACAUGCAUAGAAUGGUUCACUUUGAAUGGGAUGAGCCAGCACAGGAAGAUGGUACAAGCUAAGCAAGUACCAUUUUUGUUUAUCUGUAGUGUGAUACAUGCUUCUAUUUGUUUGCUUGUAUGGAAUGGUAUGGGCUCAUACAAGAUCAUGUUUGUUUGGAUAGGGAUGGAUUAGCCUGUUAUUAACCUAACUUGGUGAGCUUUAUCUCAUGUAUUGCUUUAUUGCGUAUCUUUUUAUAAUAAGUCUAUUUCUCCAUAUAAUUUGUGAACAUUAUAAAAUCUGAAUGUGCAAGACAUAAUCUAGUAUUUCAAAUUUAUUGAUACAUGGAAAAAAAAUCAAAUUCCUUAUGCUGAAUGAAACGAAGACAAAUACCAGAUAGGAGAUCUCAAGUACUUAUAUGUCUAUAAAAUACCAGAUUAUUAUCACCUCACUGUUCUUGGUACGUCACCAAACAUAUGUUUAGCUGGCAUAUAAGUGGUGUUUUGCUUACAAUGACUUUCAUGAAAAAGAUCUAGAGUGAUGGACCAAGCAGAACUACAUGUUUGGAAUUGAAGAACCUAAUUCAAUAAAAGUGAAGGACAAAAGUAAAAUGACAACUGUAGCAUAGGGAAAGUGGCAUAAAAAAUAUCAUUGUGAAAUAUCUUGUGAUAUCUAAUUGUGCGAUGCCAAACUCAUUCUCCUGAGAUUCGGAACUAGCCACACAGGGGUUGGAGAGUUGGACCAAAGCUGAGGGGAUACAAUUUCCUUGUUCCUAUUGUUUUUCAGGUCAAAUUCUCCAAUAUCACGCCUAUCGUUCUUGUGACACGUGACAUCAAGAAAGUAAUCAUCAGUAAAGUAGGCAUGAUUUGGCUUCAGUUGUGGAUAUUCUUUGGCACAAAGGCAAAGUGAUUGGUUACGCCCAAUAAACAGCACGUUCUCACCCAAGGUACCUACUUCCACUACAAGCUUUUCCGAUGUAAGGUCCACUUUAUGUACUUUGAUCCUGUUGGUCUUGUUGGGCGGCGGCGUAGACAGUUCUAAAAUAGAGUCAUAGUCUUUACCGUUAGAUCUAGUAAUUUGCAGCAGUUCACCAGAUGGAGCUUGAACAAUGUAAACCCUGUCUGAUGCAGACCACUUCACCCGUUCCAGAACUAUCUUCAUUGUAACUGCUGGGGCACAAAGAUCGAACGCAUGGAUUUCUCCUAAUGCAGUGGUGGCAUAUAACAGUCCACCCUGAAAUUGGCAGUCUUCAUAGCAAGUGUGUGGCGGCAACCACGUCCACUCAUUGUCUCCUGCCCUUGCAAACGAAAGCUGACAUUCUGGGUCGUGGAUCAGCACCACGAAGUAGUCCCCGGUGGAUGGAUCUGAAGAUAGAAAGGCCUUGUCGAACAGCAUAUCACGGAGCUCACUGAGAUCAAGGAUUGAUGGCUUAUCAUAGAGCCACUCCUCUCCAGUGUACCACAAGUACUCAUAGUUACAAAGGGUGCCAGCAUCAUCAAAUAUCGGCUCCACCUGCUCGAUGGUUGUGACCGAUGGCAGUGCGAUCUGAUCACCGGUGAUGGGGUUGACAAGCUGCAGCUCAGAUCUCUCGUCUGCGGUGAUUAUCCAGCCAUAGGACGAACCAAUGACCUCCCUAGUUCGGAUAGGUGGGUCCGGGAGAGUCAAUGUGUAUGCCUUCUUCUCAGCGAGGCUGUAUAGACCCAUAGCCCUCUCACCCAUGGAUUCAGAAGUGUACAGGAGGCACGGUGUCCGCUGCAGCUUGCAAUGUUCAGUAGCGCACAGGCUUGUGUAGGCGGCGCGCCACGAGGCACAGACUGAUCCUGCACGUACAAGGUCAGGGGUCUCAAGGAGGGCAAAGAUAUCCAUCAGGAUAUCCUGUGGCAGCCACGGCAGUUCACUGCCUGAAGUAGGUGCCACCACGGGUGAUGGAUGUAGAAACUCAUCUAGCUGGAGUAAUGUCUUCAUCAGUGAACAGGUUGAGGAAGCAAAUAUCUUGGCAAGGGCCCGAAAGAGCAGAUUGCACAGACAGCUAAGGUUCAUCCUCUCGGCUCUGCUGGAUAUGUCCAUCGAAGCAAAUCAAAGCUGGAUCUCUCGCCUUUGCAAGACCACGGAUGAUCGAGCUCCCUACAACGGGAGACAAAAGACGCUUGGAAUCUUUCGGAGUAGUACAAGGCACAAGGGCAGGCUCCUGGUUCCGUUCUUAUACCCAGCAACCCCAGGAUCCGAAUUCGACUAGGUUAACGGAAGAUCUGUGUUGUGGAUGUGGAGAUCAGACUUACCCCGUGCAAGAUUCGGAGGUUCCGGAACAUCCACACCGAUUCCGGCUCCGAUAAUCCGAUUCCGCAGACGGGUAACUCAUCGGAGGCAGCGUAGGGCGUAGGCAGACGGGAAACGGAACCCAACGAAGGGGAAGGCCUGCCGGUUGCUAGACUCGAUGAAGGCGGAAUUGAAGUCACAGGCGGCUGCAAGGGCAUCGGUAAAAAAAAAAAAAAAAACUUCGUCUAGUCAAUUGCUUAUUUUUUUAUUUUAGCGGGGACCGAUAUUUUUUCUGUUUAUAAUUGACAAAUAAAUGAAUGAAUCCAGAAUCAAUCAAGCUCUACCCUUCGUCUAGUCAAGUCUUAUUAUACAUGGAUGCAGGUGAGCUUAACACGAAUAUUUUUUAAUUAACACAUAUAUAUGUUUCAUUAGUUACUUACACAAAUAUAUAUUUUAAAUAUUUUCAGUUUUGGGCUUUUGCCGGUGCUCCUUUCUACGAGGUAUAGAGGGGGCUUUAAACUUCCGAAAGCCAUUUAAGCUUGUUCUAACUUUAAAACCCAUCAGGUCCAAUUAGAAAACGCAGAUUCAACAUUUUAACAAAAUUAAAUCAACAUCUAAAAACACUAGAUUCAACAUUUUCCAGAAUAAAAAUCAACAUUUUGUAAGAAAAUACUGCAUUCAACAUUUCUCACCGAUUCUUUCAACAUUUGAACAAACCAGGUUCAACACUUUUUCAAGGAUGAAUCAACAUUUUGUUUUUUCCCUCUUUUUCAACAACCAGGGUAAAGGAUAGCACGCCAGUGCUCCCACACACAGCAUGUGGGGCUGGCGAGCCUAGGGGCGGCGCCAUCGCGGCCUACAGUGCGAGGGGUCUACAUGCCCGUGGGGCGACGGCACAGGGCCGGCGUCGCUCGGGGUUGGUGGCGCGUGGGGUCAGCGCACUUGGGGGCGGCACGCGUGGCGAGCAGGUGCGCCCACUAGGUGUGGCGGCACAGCGAGUCAGCGCGCCCAUGGAACCAGUAGUGCCAAGGGGGCCAGUUGAGAGUCGGGGUGGCACGUGCACCGGCAUGGUGGCAAUGGAAAUAGGGGUAGCGGUGGGUAGAUUUAGGCUAGGGCUUGAAAGAGAAUGAGGUGCAUUUCACGGAAAAUAUCAUGUGUACGAAUCUCAAACAACAGAAGUUGUAUAAGGAAAAAAACUACCGGAAGCUAUAUAGGUUUCCUAAGGUAUAGAUGGUCAGAUGGGCCAGGCCCAACCAGCGGCCAGAGGCACGGCUCUAAAAAGCAAGCCACUAAUUUACCACGACAUGUAGUUCAAAGAUCAUUUCAACAAGACAUGUAAUUCAAAUGAGAAGGAAUUCCAAAACAUAUAUACAAAUAUAUUUAAAUUCUAAAAAUGUGUAUAUUAUUGCCUACAUUGUAAAUAAUUUAUUUCAUGAAUAAACAUACUAAAUGUUGAUUAUAUUAAAUAUUUAUGCAACAAUGACAAAGUUAUCUAUUUGUCACGUUAGAACAUUCUUGGGAGGAUGGAAUUGAAAUGAAUAUUGUGCUUUGGAAAGAACUCAAAUUUAGGGAGACUAUUACCUCAGUUUCUAAUGUUUUUCGGGGAAGUUAUUAGGAUGUAUUUCAAUUCCCAACUAAUUUUUUACUCUGAGGAACAUCUGACUUUUCUCUUCAAUUUUUCAUAUGGCUUAGAUGUGCAAAUCUUACAUAUAUGUUCUUUCAUAAUUUACAUAUCAUAUUUACAACACAUGUAGUUGAUAUGCAAAGUAAUUCCAGGAAAUAGGCAGAAACACAUAUACUUCUCAAUAAGGUAUAUUGGGUGUAUGAGUUAAAACUGAACUCAACUCAACCUGGUCGCACCCGUAUCUCAACAUCCUCCCCGCCCCCCCCCCCCCACCUCACCUCACCACCACACUGCCUCAGGUUUGUCCUUCCCUAAUAUUCUAUGGCCAUCACACCUCAACUUCGGUCAUCGGCUAUUGCCUAGCGGCACCCCGCCACCUCUCCUCACCGCCAACAACCCACUUCUAUCUCCUUAAUCUCUAUCCUAUCCAAAUAAUCUCCGAUCAUCACACCCCUGCGCCCGACGCGGCUCACCACUAGUCAUUAGUCACUUAGGCCGACGAGGCCCUACCACCUCUCCUUGCCA